UCUACUUCCUUUAUAAUGGGUUAGAAUUACCUUAUUUAUAAUAAAUUAUUAUUAUCUUUAAAUAAUAAUGAAAAAUUUAAUUAUAUAAUAGGUUAAAUUUUAUAGCGAUAAGUUUACCACUAUAUUUAGGAGAUAACGUGAUUUAUUUACUUAUAUCAAAACAAAUAAUGAAACUCAAAAAACUAAUUUCACUAGCAUCAAGUUACAUCAAAACAAACAGAAGAAAUAAUUGAAUUUAACUUUCAAAUUGUACGAGUUAUGUCAAAACAAACAACAAAAAAAUAAUUGCACUUCAGGAAAACUCAAACAUCAUUGCACUUAAGUUACGUUGGAUUUACGAAUUCGUCAAUCCAAAUGCCCCCUAAGCCAAAAACAAUUAACACGGUCUAUCAUAACAAACCAACAUGUGUGGAUGGAGCUUAGCAUUGAAAACAGAUAAGAUAUUAUCCAAUAAUAUUCAUAUCUAUUCGGUAUUAUUCAUAUCUAGAUAGAAAAUGUUCAAAUCCAGUCAGAUAUGGAUGUGAAUAUAAUUUUAGAAAGUCAAAAUUAUCCGGAUAUCGAAAAAAACGAAUACGGGUACAAAUAUACAAUACCCCAAUAUCUCAUUCUCCUCAUUCUCUUAUCCCAAUAUCCCAAUAUCUCUGUUGUGGCUCGAACAGAACUUUCGAAAUGUUGACCAAGUCAAGCUAUUGACCGGGUCAAUUGCAUCUUCAGACUUGUGGAUCGGUUUUUGAAUUGACUCUCGAGUGCGUCAAAAUCAAGCUAUUCAGUUGAGAAGGGAUUGGCUCAACCAUGUUCUCUCUCAAUGUGUAAAAUGAACCGAAUUCAAGGAAUAGGAACUAAUUCGGCUGAAACUAGAGCCGAACUAAUUUAUUUCAUUUCAUUAAUAUAUGAAAAUUAUAGGAACUGUAGAUCACUAGGACUUUGAUUAGAGAAAAAUUAAGGACUAAUCUCUAAAACUGGAAGCUACUCCUAAGAAAACAGAAUAUACUGGAAAUGAAGGGUUACAGACUACUACGAAAGUUGUAGAUACUGGAAUUAGAAGGAGAAUUUAAAAGUAGCAGUCUUGUGUUCGGAAAAAGAUUGUGUUAGAGAAAAGAUUCUUAUCACAGGCAACCUUUCACUAUUUACAGCACUCUUGCCAGCUCUUCGUUACCUUGUGGUUACCGGACAGUUCGCAUAGUGGGGUAGUGCUCUGGUGUCACGCCGCGGGGCCGAUUUUAAAAACCUUUUGAAAACAGAGUUGCGGAAAGCGUGCCAUUUUUUUUUUUUCAACCUGGCCCACGUGACGUACAGACCCGCCACAAAUACAAAGUUCCUCUGUCCACUCGGGCAGAGUCUCCUUUGUAUUUGCACGGCGUACCAACGGAUACAACAGGAUCUCAACCACAACCUACAUUUACCAAUCAACAACCAAAGCAUGAUAUGCAUUUCCAUACAGCUAACAAUCCUUAGAAUGAUGCAUGCCUCUAAGCACAUCUUAGGCGCUGGAUGAUGCAAUGCACAAUACAACAACCAUCCUAUUUAAAAGUGCUCCCCACACAGAAGCUUUUAUUUUUGAACUCUAAUUCAUUCAUCAUGAAAAAUCAUUAUAGAGAGAGGAUGGUUUCGACUGGACUUGAUGAGGUGACGACGAGGGUCGGUGUCGAAAUAUAACACUCUCGGAAUCCGAGAUUCGUAAAUUAUUCCGAACUUUAAUGUGAGUUGCGGCUAUCUGUGUUUGCUGCCAAGACUCAAAUUGGAAAGUUGUUUGUGGGGCAAGCAGUGACUCGUGACACGAGUCGUUGAGUUCGGAGGCACUAGUGUUUCCCGGGACGCGUCCCGGUUGAUUUCUGGACUUCCGGUGAGUUACGAUUUAUCGGUGUUGGGAAAACCGAUACGGGGAUCCGUGUUAGGGGUUUGUGAGUGCUCAGUGCUUUGUUUAGUGAUGAAUACUCGGACUUUGGUGAUCUUCUUUAGGUUCCGGCGACUUGUGUCGUACCCAGGUGUUCCGAGUGCGACAUGUACAGUCGUGCUUCGAGCUGGUAGUCGUGAGAGGCGGUUCACCGCCUUCUCACUGGUUUAUUUCUAUUCCAGUAAUUAGCUCUAACAUGUCAGUUGUCUGGUUAUCGUUUGUUUAUCGUAUUUCGUGACCUGCAUUGGUUAUGAUUGAUAGGACAUUAGAGCAAGUUGCAUUUUAUAUUUCAAUGUAUCUCUGUGGACCUGUCUAGCAACACAUCGACUUCUCCUGUCGUGUGUUCCAUUGGUUGGAUCAGGUUUCGGCGUUGUACCCUAGCUUUAUUUUAAAAAUUGGUGCAUUGUACGCGCCGUCCGUUGUUGCCUUCGGCCUAGGCACCCGCUUUAGCCGGGUUAUGUGUUUGUUUGAGCAUAUCCAGCAUGAGCUUAGUCACAAGGCACUCUGGGUAACUUCUAUGACACCUGGGUCUCCGGAGGUCGGUUUGGCCACGAUCGGCAGGUGUACUUAGCCGGAUAGGUCGUCCUGCGGCGUAUUGGAUCCACUCGUGCAGUUAGUGCCGAAGGCAGCGGCUUGAGUCUGGCGUACAAUACAGCAGGGUAGAUCGAUUCGCGUAACAUGUUUCUAUUCAGUACUUUGAGGCAUUCCUUUUUGCAUUGUUAUCUAAUACAGUAGCAGGUUUGUUUGUAUUGCUGUCUUAUUUAUCUGUUUUGUUAGCUACUGUAGACUUUCAUAUCAGCAUUAUAUUUGUUUUAUAUCUAGUCUCCAUUUGAUUUUGCGGUGAUGUACGCUUGCCUUCGUGGUCUGUCGCGACCCACUGAGAAAACCAAUGGUUGUCGUUGCUCACCCCCAUUCCCCUUGCCCCAAAAGGUUGACAUAAGACGAGAGUUGGAUUUGGGCUCGAACGAGUAGGACUCUCGCUUAAUCUGGUUUAGCGAUCGCGGCACACUGGGUGUAUUCUGUCCCGGCCUUAUGUAGUCAUUUAAAUAAAAUGGUUCAUUUAGAUGUUUGAAUGUUGAUUUUCAUUAUGUCAUGAUAAAUAUCUAUAUUGCUUUAAAUGGAAGUUGUUUCUGCAUAUGCAUGAGAAUUAUGGAUGUCUUAUUAUGCAGAUUGGAGUUUUAGAUACUGUGUUUUGGAUCCUUUGUUUCAGAUUGGAUUUUAUACGCUUUGUGGAUUUCUGAACUACCUACGAGGUACUGGUUUUCAAAUAGUAGUUCCGUGUGGGAAAUAGUUUUAGAGAGAGAGUUUCACANNNNNNNNNNNNNNNNNNNNNNNNNAUUAUUGUAAGGUGAAUUCCUCAUAGCUUAUGGUUUUCAAAAGUUAAAUCACCAUAAAUCUUCAAUUUACAAGCUCCGGAAGGAGUUUCGGCGCUGAUCUCGCGUGAAAGCCGAGGAGUCGGUGGACGCUUCGAGGAGUUGAGGCCGUUGACGUGCGAGGAGUUCAGCAAGGUCCGAUUGGGGAUCCUAAUGUUGGGUGCGAACAAGGAGUCAGUUACAAUGUGAAUUUGCAUGUUAUUUUCUUUGAUUGAGCCAAAGAAUGUUGAAUGAAGCUCUUGUUGAUGAAUAUUGGAUAAAUAUAUGCAAAAGAACUUGUCAAUUUGUCGCAAUGAUGUAUGGAGAUUGGUGCCUCGCUGCUGAGCAACAACACGAUUAUUGGUACCAAAUCGAUCUUAAGAAUAAGAAAAAUGAGUGUACUAUCGUACGGAACAAAGCUAGACUUGUGCUUCAGGGGUACUCUCAAAUUGAGGGAAUAGACUUUGAAGAUAAUCUUUGCUCCGGUUGCCGUCUCGAAUCUAUUCAUAUCUUGUUUCGCGAUUGCUUGUCAUUUAAAAUCACGCUCUUUCAAAUGGAUGUCAAAAGUGCAUUUUAAAUGGAUUGUUAAAAGAGGAAGUUUAUGUUGAACAACCGAAGGUUUUAUAGACUCAAAAUUUCCAAAUCACGUUUCGACUGAAAAAGGCACUUUAUGGACUAAAAACAAGCCUCGCGAGCAUGUACGAACGUUUGACAAAAUAUCUUUUGGAAGGGAUAUAACGAGGGGAGCAGAUAGAACUCUUUUGUGAAACACCUGAAGGAUAAUUUCAUUGUAGCACAAAUAAUAUGUGAGAUGACAUAGUUUUUGGCGGCUACUAAAGAUAAGGAUGCCGCUGAUUUGCAAAGUUAAUGACCGCUUGAGUUGAGAUGUCAAUGAUGGCGGUGAGCCUUAAUUAUUUACCUCGGGCUUUCAAGCAAACAAUCAAAAGAAUGGAAUUUCAUUUGUCACAGACAAAGUAUGCGAAGAACUAAUUAAGAAAUUACGAUUAGAAGAGUGCAAAGGAUUUGACACUCGAAUGGGUACAAGCCAACAAAGGAUUAGAGUGAAUUCAGAAGGUCAGAGUUGGAUGAGAAACAAUACAGAAGCAUGAAUGGUAGCCUUUGUUAUCUGACUGCCGAAGCAGACCUGACAUUGCGUUUAGUGUUGGAAUAGGUGCUCGGAUUAUGCAGGCUAAUCCUACAGGAAUAGCAUCUGAAAGCAGUUAAAGGAUUAUGUCGAUAUGUUAAAGAACCAACCGAGUAUGGACUAUGGUUAUCCUUAAUAGGUAACGUCUUGACCUAAUCGGCUUACUCGGAUGCUGAUGGGCCAGGCUCCGCAAUGAUCGAAAAAAAGUACUAGGGAGCUGUUUUUACAUUGGACAUGUUUGGUCGCCUGCACAGUUAAGAAAGCAAAAUUGCAUGCUCUUCCAGCAGAAAGCCUGAAUACAUUGCAGCUAGAAGUUGCUCUACUCAAUUAAUUUGGGAUGAAAAGCCUAACUAGCGCGACUAUCGGGAUUCUUCUACCACACUGAUCAUCUGUUGGUGACAACACGAUGUGCUAUUAAUAUUUCUAAAAACCCUGUUUUGCAUUCAUCGAUACAAAACAUAUUGAACUAAAGAUAUCAUUUUUUAGAGAACUGGUUAGAAUCAAAGAUUUACAAACUUGAAUACAUUUCAACUGAAAUCAACUUGCAGAUAUUUUAGACCAAACCUUUGGAUAAAACUUUUCUGCAUUGAGAAAGGCCAAUGGUAUGAAUCAUCCAAUCUAGAUAUAUUCUUUGAGCCACAGAUCAUGUGAUGUUGCAUAUUUUUUCUUUUCUUGCAUGUUUUUCGGAAUGUUUAUGAUUUGUUUGAUUUUCUUGCUUGAUGUUGCUUUUCGGGAAUGAGUGAUCUGUGAAUUUAAAGUAUUUCAUAUUUAGUUUUGAUUGAUCAAAUUGUCAGGGCUUACUCUCUAUUGACAUAUUUCUUGAACGAUCAAAUUCAAUUUGAUAAUAUCUUUUAACGAUAUGAAUCAAAUGCGAGCACCUCAUGCUUUUACUUUGAAUAUGUGCAUUGUUUGUUGAUAUUAGUUUGAGAUAAAAAAUCUUCUCUAUUUUGAUAAUCUGCGAUAAUAUUUUGCUGAGGUUGCACUAAUUUAGGCUGGGAGUCUUUGCAUUUUUAGCUAGUGAAAAAUUUAUGAAAUUCAGAUGGGAAAAGAUUACAUUCCCCGCUGUGGAAGUGUGAAAACUACCACCACAUGGAUGAGAAAGAGCUUACACCCGGUCAGUCCGUUCAUGUGUGCAGCUACCAAUUGAUGAUCAAUAUAUCUCUAUGAGCUAAAGCAAUAUAACGAAUGAAUCAAAAUGAGAUGUUUGUGGGAGAUGGUAAAUUCUACUACUAUGUAUAAUACAUCUCCUAGGCGAUAUAGGGAUUUGUUAAAGAUGCUCAGAGCCACUGCUUGAUCUCGAUUUUGUGAUAACUCAAGUUGAGAAUUUUUUGUGUAUUGCCUGAUAAGAGAUUUUAUUUAUUAAUUUCUUAACAAAUAUGAUGAUAAAAUGAUGCAAUUUAUCCCUAUAUCUUGCAUGAUGUGUGGAAUUAUAUUUCAUACGUUAUCAAGAAUUUAUCUUGAUGUCUCGGUAUCAACAAUAUUUGACAAUUGAUAUCUUUGAGAGUUGAUUUUUCAAAAUUUAUUUAUGAAAAUUUAUUUGGAAGUUUUUGGGAUUGGAUAUUAUGUAUAUUUAUUGCUGUUGGAUCAAUGUUUGAGGUAAUUAUAUAAAUUGUUUGACAAAUUUGGACGAAAAAUGGAUUUUUCGGUUGCGCUCUGCGGACCGGUCCCAGACUUGGAGAGACCGUCCCUCCAACCCGGGGAAAAACCGGGUUAUUAAAAGGGGUUGCGGUCCGGUUUCUUCAUCACUUUCCCAAACUGUUCUAACUUCUCCCCAGGGCUCUAGGCAUACUAAGGGCUUUUGCUCCAUUCCUCAUCAAUUAUCCACUUGAUUUUGGUAUGAUUCUGGAAUUUAUUUGUGUUGUUGCUUAUAUCCGAAUUUAUGCUUCAUUUCAUUUUUGGGAUUUGUUCUCAUUAUGUCGUUAGAUCUUUUCAUUUUGGUCUGAUCUUACCUCUAGACAUGUUAGAUCACAUUUUAUGCAUUAUUCAUAUUUUGAUUACAAUUAUUUGUUGGUUUUGCUAAUGUUUUCGUAUCUAAACUCUAAUUUUUCAAAUUUUUUCGAAAAAAUUAGGAUUUACUGAUUCUUUGAGCUUGAUUUGUCAUAUUGAUUUUCAUGGUUAAGUCUGGCCAUAGCUAUCUAGCUAUUUUCAUAUCAAUUUGCGUAAGUUUUUUUUGGAAUGGCAAUCGCAUUGUUCUUACUGUUCAAAAUAUAUAAUCAUUGUGUUUGACAGGGUUGUCUUUCGAAAAUGUACUCGUGCUACUUGUUCUUGUUCUUCUGGUUAUGGCUGAAGCGCGUGGUCGGUGGCGUAAGCGACAGCGCUCAAAAGCUAAAAGGCCGAUUUGAGUGAUUCAACAGGGGGACGAUGAAGAGACGCGAUAUGCUCCUGGCCGAUGAACCUGAGAGGAAGACGGCCGCGUAUUGGGAGACUUGUUCCCGAAGUAUUGAGCUAAGGAUAGGAUACUGCUGGAAAGGCAAAGGAAAAGGAAAGGCUCGUGGAUAAAGCAAAGGAAAAAGCAACUGAACGUCCCCAGUCGUCGUAAGAAGUCCGGGGGUUGUUGAAAUUCGAGAACCAGGUUUUGCAGCACCACGUCACAGUUCUACAAGAUGUUCAUUAGAUCGAGGUCAUGUACUUGUCGAAACACUCAUUGCGGGUGUGAGCGAGAUGUUGGGGGGCCAGUUUCAUAGUGUGCUGCCGUCUGUUUCAGGAUUUAACUUUAACAGGGAAUCUUCAUCAGAUUUGUGAUUCCCGGAGCAAAACCGGUUAUUGUUUGGAGUGAUCAAGAGAAUUUUACAUCGAGAGCAGGGACCUCAGUGAUUCCGACGGCGGUCUCCGUACGUGUUAGAAUUCCGUACGUGGUGUUGAGUUAUCCAACUCCUUGCGACAAUAGGGCUGUCAGGUGAUAGAGCAUGGAAGCGACGACUGACGUGAGUGGCAAGUAUCUUCAGGCUGGAUUCGACUCACUUCGCGAUCUGGAAACCGUGUUAGUGACACUAGUUUGUAUGCCGCUGGUACGUGAAUCAAACGGCAUAUGGUUAUUGUCAAAAGAUUUUCAAAUGAGUAACAUCGUUUCUGACUUUUUUAUAUGGAGUUUUUUGCUCCUUAACACUACAUUAUGAUUUCGUCUAUUCUACAAUAAUUGCUUCGAACACGAAAAUCUUGUGAAGUUUGUGAGGAUUCGGUAGGUUUAUCAUGUUUGAACAAUUUAUAUGUUUUGGAGACUGCAAUCUUUUAGCCACCAUGAUAAACUCAUUAUUAAUUGAGCGAGUAAUUCCAGUUAUCUGAUAUGAAUAGGUUUGUCCGUUCUGAUCUGGGCGGCGGAUGGCCCGGAAAACAUCAAAACCUCGGGCAAAAUGAUAGCGUUACCAUUUCCUAUUUAUAAGAUGCGGAUUUUUUGCGACUUCGUUGAGGGUGGAGAUUGGUGUGAAGUAUGGUCUUGACAUCAAAUAACUCUUAGUGGGCAUCUACUUGAUUCUCGUAAGAAGUAUCGAGUAAAAACGAAGAAUCAAGCCGAUGUUGAUUGCUAGAAACUCAUCAUGUAAAUCUAAGCAUUGAAACGGGGAGAAACAAGUUUCUAGGGUUUAGAAUUGGUAAAGUAUUCAAAGCCUUAAUUUUAGAUGACCCACAUAGCUUAUUUAUAGGUUUAGAAGACUUAGAAGUAGACUAGGAUUGCAAAAAAAUCGUUUUCAAAAACCUGUGUCGUCCUCAGAGACCGGUCCUCUCGAGGAGACCGGUCUGUGAGAGACCGGUCUCUCAAGUGAGGAACCGGUCCCUCUCUGCGUGACCAAAAACCCAACGUUCAGGAACCGGUCUCUCAAACUUGAGACCGGUCCCUCGCUGUGCGACAGAACCACCAUGGUUCGGGAACCGGUCUCUCAUCACAGGGGACCGGUUGCAUCAUGGUUUACGCAGUGAGGACCUUGGGGGAACCGGUCUCUCCAUCUCAGAGACCGGUCCCAGAACACAUGAAAGUUCAGAAAAGUUGUUUUAAAGCAAUCUAAGCCUUCUGAACUUAUUCUAAUUAUGUAUCUUCACCACAAAUGAUCUUUUAUUCAUACCUUAGGUGUCGUUCUUUCCGAAUGAGUCUUUGUCCUCCAAUUUGAAUCUUUUCUCAAAAACUUCUGCGAUCAACUCUUCAAGACUCCAAACAACUUUACGAAAUUCGCCAACCUAUAAAAUCCUUAACAGUUUGAUGGCGAGAACGUCGACCACUGGAUUGUUGAGAAGUGGUUGAUGCAUAUGGAGGAGCUUUUUCGAGACACCUUUGUGGAGGAGCGGGACAGAGUUUGGCUCGCCACUCACUUUCUGGACGGCGAGGCCUACCGUUGGUGGUUGGAUAUCCAGGACAACCCCAACACCGAUUUGGCAGCGAUUACUUGGACGAGGUUCAAGGAGCUUCUUCUGGCGCACCACUUUCCUACCAGCGUCAAGAGGAAGAUGGAGCAGGAUUUGCGCAGCUUGUGCCAGGACGAGCGGUCAAUGGCUGAGUACGAGAGGGAGUUCUCCCGGAUACUACACUGUGUACCGUUUGUUGUUAGGGAUGACGAGGACAAGGCCCGCAUAUUUGAGCGUGGUUUGCGGCCUUCUAUCUUCCGGUUGGUGCAGUCUUCCAACCUCCAGACCUAUCGAUAGAGGUUCGUGUCGCCACAAAAAAUUAUUCUUGUCAUUGAUUUGGAUUUGGGGUUGUAUUAUUUAACCCUAAUGCGAAAGCAUAUACAAAACAUAUUUCAUAUAUUUGAUAUAUGAAAGUAAUUGGUGACAAUCAUGAAUCCCGGGUGACGUAGUUAAUAUGUCAUUAUUUUAUGGUAGUUAAUUCUUUAAGUUAGCAUGCAAUUAAUAAAAGAAUUUUAAUUGCAUAUAACUUAAUCUAUUAACCUAAGUAGGUUAUAUAUAAAGGCUAAAUCAAAUUACAUAUGUUGGGGCACGAGAUGCACUAUAUGAUUUCAUCAUAUGGUCUGAGAUUAUUUGUCAUCAAUGUUUAAUAUUAUUUUGUAUUAGAUACAAAAUAAUUGCAUUAGAUGUAAUUAAAAAUAUGAUCUGAUGAGACUGAAAUAAAAGCCAAAACUUUAUAUUAUAAAUAUUAAGUUGUAACAAAGAGUGUUAUGAACACCCUUUUGUGGCCUUCUACCGUUGUAAGGUGUUGGCGUUUUUCUAAAUGUUAGAGAUUAGCUACAAAAUAAUUUAAAAAAUAUCAACGAGUCGAUCAAGCCGAGGCACGGAUAUCUCGCUCUCUUUAAGGAGAUUCAAGCCCUCUGCGGUUGGCAAAGCCUUUGAACCGAUGCAGUAGAGCACCGACUUGUCCCCUCCAGGAUACAACGGCUCGACCCUCGUCGUGUGGCUUCACCAACUCUGCACAAGUAGAUGAGCCCAAAGCUCCACCAAAAGAACACCUUUCUUUGACCUUCUCUCUCUCUCAAGUAUAAUAGAAAUAGCUUUAGUUGUAUUUGCAAAUGAAUGAAAAUGAACUCUAUAUAUAGGCCUCACAAGCUAUAGGUUACUAGAAUUAAAUGGCUUGGAGUUAACUUGCAUUCCUCCAUGAAUGCAAGAGUAUAGGUUAUCAAAAGGUUAUAGGAAUGCAACAUGAAUACAUGUAUAGGUUAUGUCAUUUUCAAUGCAAAUAUUAUUUAAUAAUAAAAUGUAACAACAUUCCCCCACUCAUUUUAUUAUUAAAAAUAUAUGAGAGUUUGAUGGCCAAAGAGGGACCGUUAUACAUAAUGAAGAUGUGCUCUGCAUUGAACCUUCACUUAGUGAGUGAUACGCAUGGUUACAUGGGCCACUUGCAUGAAGAAAGCGCAACUACCUUAUCAACAUUUGAUGUUAUGUGGUAAAAUUAAUACUGUACCCAAUAACUGUUAGGUGAGGGUUCAAUAUUAGUUUUACACACAUAAUUGAAUGGUAGAUCAAACUUAACUAGGAUGUGGGCCAAUAUCUGUUAGGUGAGGCUUUUAUGUCCUAGAGGCCAAGGAAUAAUUGCAAUAUGUUUCUGAAACAUUGGACAAGAGUUGUCCACUCAUCUAUUUGCUAAUUACCAAUAAUUGUUAGGUGAGGUAAUUUGCAAAAUUGGUGAGACUGCAAUCCCCACUAUAAACCAAAUUAAGAGGUUUCCGUUUCUGCACUAAGGGAGUGUGAAGAUCCGCAAAAUUUAGUGGGAGACACCAUUUGAUUAAAAGUCCAUAGUCAAAUGGAAUAAUGAAAAGUAUAUAACUAACUGAAUAUCUUUCCCUUCUACAGAAUAUAGCUGCUUCUAACCCUUUUACUAAAAUUCUUGAUGCCAAUCGCUAGACCGGCCCUAAUUUUUUUGAUUGGCUACGGAACUUGAGAAUCGUUCUCAAUUCUGAAAAAAUUGCCUAUAUUUUGACUACUCCUGCCCCUGAACUUCCAGCUGAUGACAAUGAGCAAGAGAGAGCUGCUUAUGAAAAAUGGAUAGAUGACGAUAACAGAGUUAGGUGUUACAUGUUGGCAUCGAUGAGCAAUGAGUUGCAACGUCAACAUGAACACAUGGACAGUGCGUUGGCCAUUCUACUUUACCUACAAGAACUGUAUGGUGAACAGAGCCGCUCUACUCGAUAUGAGAUAUCGAAACGACUAUUUCGAGCAAGAAUGUCCGAUGGCCAAUCUGUUAAUCAUCAGUGUUUGAAAAUGAUUGAGGAUAUAGAAAAGAUUGGGAAGCUCGGCCUACGGAUGGAUGCAGACUUGCAGACAGAUUUAAUUCUGCAGUCUUUACCUGACUCAUUUUCACAGUUCGUAAUGAACUUUCAAAUGAAUAAGAUUCAGUGCACUCUCUCAGAGCUCUUGAAUAUGCUGGUAACAGCAGAGGAAACAAUAAAAGGUAAUAAAGGGUCGAUCUUGGCUAUGGAAUGGGCUUCAUUCUCCAAAAGAAAGUUUAAAUGGAGAAACAAGAAAUCUAACAAGAAGCCAAAGGCUGAUAGCAAAAGACAAGUUCUUAAGAAGGCCACUAAAGGAAAAUAUUUCCACUACAAUGGAGAUGGCCAUUGGAAGAGGAAUUGCCCUAAAUACCUUGCUAGCCUAAAGGAGAAGGCAAAGGACAAGCCUUCUGAAGGUAUGUCCAACCUGCUCAUUGAGACUAGUUUGUCAGUAUGUUCUACUACUACUUGGAUAAUUGAUUCUGUAUGCACUUCUCACUUGUGCACCUCGAUGCAAGGUUUAAGACAAAGUAGAAGGCUAAAGGAAGGAGAAAUCAUCCUACGAGUGGGUAAUGGAGCAAAAGUUGCUGCAUUAGCCGUAGGAACCUAUCCUAUACUAUUACCGUCAGGCAUAGUUUUAGAAUUAAAAGAUUGUCUAUAUGUUCCUAAUGCUAAUAGAAACUUAAUUUCUGUUUCCUUAUUAGCAUUGACUGGUUAUAAAUUUAUUUUUGAAAUAAAUACUUGCUCAAUUUAUUUGAGAAAUAAAUUGAUAGGCUAUGGAACAAUAAUUAACAAAUUAUAUCACUUGCAUAUGGAUGUAAGUAUAAAUACAAUUGAGCAGGAAGUAAAUGUCGUAGGGUCUAAGAGACCUAGAGAAGAGGUAAAUCACAAGUAUAUGUGGCAUCUUAGAUUAGGUCACAUCGAUGAAGAUCGGAUUAACAAAUUGGUUAAAGAUGGGCUCUUGAGUUCAUUGUCUUUUGAGCCGUAUCUAAUUUGUGAAUCAUGUCUUCAAGGAAAGAUGACCAAAUUACCCUUUAUUGGACAAGGGGAAAGAGCCACUGAGGUACUUGCCUUGGUGCAUACUGAUGUAUGUGGACCAUUUGAUGUACAAGCCAAGGGAGGUUAUGUUUACUUCAUCACCUUUGCUAACGACUAUUCACGGUAUGGGUAUGUCUACUUGAUGAGACAAAAGUCUGAAGCCUUUGAAAAGUUCAAAGAAUUUAGACAUGAAGUAGAAAAUCAAACCGGAAAGUUUAUUAAGAUCCUUCGAUCAGAUCGAGGAGGGGAAUACUUAAGUUCGGACUUUCUAAAUUACCUCAAAGAAAACGGCAUCAUCUGUAGCACACUGGACCUUUGCAAAUUGCGAGGUUCGAGUAUUUGGAUGUAUUUCGAGCUUUUCCAUACUUGGUGGAGGGUUGUAGAAUGUUUUCCGACCUCAAAAGUUCGAAAACUGAAAUUCUGGACAAGUCCUGAGAGUUUUUACUCUCGGGGACCGAUCCCUGGAAGGAGAGACCGGUCCCCCAGUGAGCAGUGUUGCGGCAGCCCUGAGGCAACCGGUCCCUGGCGGGCGAGACCGGUCCCCGAGCGCGCCCACGCAGAGAGAGACCGGUCCCACGCAGGGAGAGACCGGUUCCCGAACGUUGGUUCUCCGGGUUCGCAGCGAGAGACCGGUCCCUGCUGGGGAGAGACCGGUCCCUCUGGGCGAAAACUGCCCAGACCGGGCUGUGGUAAUAUUGGAUUUUUGGAGGACCUAGCUGGAUUUUGUUACAAUAGAUGGUCUAUAUGACCCAUCCACCCUCUCUUCUCCUCAUUUUCCCUCCUCACACUCUCCCCACAUCCUUGCUAGAGAGAGAAGAAGGAGAAGAAGAGGAAGGAGAAGAAGAGGAGAAGGAUCUAGCUUGGGCUUGGAGCAUCCCUUUGCCUUUCUUCCUCUUCCCACCUUGUUCGUGCUUGAAGGCUUGGACUUGGAGCUUGCAAAGGAGAAGAUCUUCACCCUUUGAGCUUGGAUUGGAGCUUCUUAGAGGUUGGUAGCCCUUUCUCUCCAUCUAGACCUUGGAUUUGAGGUUUUAUUGUAUUGGAACCCUAGAAUGAGGUUUUAGGGUUGAUUUUGGGGCUUUUUGAUCUAGGGCUUUUGAGGCUAGAUUGAUUGGAUUAGAACCUUCCUUGAGCUUGGAUUGGAAGGGUUCUAGCUCUCUUUUAGAGCUUUGGAAGAGAUUUCUUCUCUUGAGGUGAGUUUUAGCCCUUUUGUUAGGUUGUUAAAGUUUGACCUUAUAGAUUGAUCGUAAUGCCCGUGUAUCUCUUCGCUCAAUACUUCUAGGGUAUUUCGAGACUCGGGGACAACUUUGUUCGGCGAAACGGGGCACUACGCGACGGUUCGGUGGGUUUGACCUAGCCUACCUAUGAGAAAUUCUCAUAUAUGGUUAUAUAUGUUCCGUAAAUUGGAAAAGCAUGCAUAUUCAUCCUAAUUGUAUUUAUUAUGAUUUUUAGAAUGCUUAAAAUGCAUAUGUUAUAUAUGAUGAAAUUUUGGACCUCUAUGUAGUAGAGAGUUGCUUGGGAGAUCUAUGGUUGCAUUUAGCAUUCUUUAUGAGACUUGGUUUCAUGCUUCUAUAGUGUAAAUGAGUUCGGAUUCAUGCAUUUAAACUUGAGUUUACUUGUGACAUGAAAGAUGACAAGAUUGCCAUUUAGAAGGUAUGUGAACUAGAGAGCUAAUGUCAUCAAGCGGCAUUGAGCUCGGGACAUGUGAGAACCUAGUGGAUAGGGCCAUUGAGGAAUGUGGAACAUGCUUAAAUAUUAAAUGUCUAAGUGUCAUAAAGGGGCACUAGACCUAGAAAAUGUUGGAACUUCAUUUGUGACUUAGAACUAGAUCUUCGAGAUGCUAGUGACUAUACCAUGUUAGAGACAUGAGGGUUGGAUACUUGAGCCAUUGACUACGCUUGUUUGCCAUUUGUGCUCAUUCGCACAUGCUUGUGAGGGUCGCUCCCUACAAGCCGGCACUCCGGAGUUAGCCUACGCGACUUAUGUUCGCUCGUGCGGUAUUGAGAAGCCUACGAGGUCGAGUGGGACAGACACAUUCCAAGAGUAGGAAUGUUGGGCUACCACAGGCACUUAGGCGGCGCAAGCUGGACUACCCUUGGUAGGUCCCUAAUUGGAAAUGGAAAUCGACACGGGAUGAGUUUGUUAUAAUCACUACUAAAUAGAGAGUGGUAGUUGGAUUACUCGGACUUGCUUCUAGCAUAGGUUUGGACUUUGGGUAUACAUAUACAUGUAGUAUGCUACGAGGCAGUGUUUAAUUGCAUUCAUAUAAACAAUGUUGCUAUGAUAAGGGAUAAUUCUCAUAAUUUCAUUUAAGCAAACCAUGACAUUAUUUAUGGCUAAGUAGAGACAUACUCUUCAUGACAGGAUAAUUGUGCAUUACAUAAAUGCCAUGUUUAAUCACAAGUAAUAUCUUAGCAUUUCAUUAUGCUCUCAUAGAUGCAAAUUACUCGUUAUUGCUAUCGCUUUUGACUUACCCUUUUCUUUUGGGCCUAGUGGUGCAAUGAGCUGAGGUCAAUAAUUGCCCACUAGGAACUAUAAAUUAUAGUUCUCACGCCCUCUGUUUCAUGUUUUCCUUCAGAGCCUUCCACGCCGGGAGAGGCUAGGGACCGUGGGAAGGGCGUCGCUUCGGGUUAGCCUUUCAGCGAGAGACGAGUUGUAAUGCACUGGAUCUUAGCAAAUUGCAAGAUUCGAGUGUUUGAUCUGUGUGUGGAGCCUUUCCACAGUUUUUGGAGGGUCGUUGAUAGUGUCCCGACCCCUGGCACGCAUCCCGAGGAUGUUGGAGUAGGACUUGGCACCAAAAUUCCAAAAUCGGAAUUUUUGGACAGCUCUCGGGUAGCCUGCAGCAGGGCUUGUACCGGAACAAGACUGGCCUUGUACCGGUACAAGGGUUGAUGGUUGUACCGGUACAGCCAUCGGGCUUGUACCGGUACAGAGCCGCAGACCGAGCAACCCGAGCUUCGGGUUUGCAUUUUCGUCGGCCUUGUACCGGUACAAGAACCCGUGUACCGGUACAAGGAGGCAGUUUUUGUGCAGUUUGGUCUGCAGGGGGUUUUUCGCGAUUGUAGCCUAUCUAUAACAGCACCCACGCCCCUUAGGGCUUUUUUUGUGCUGGGACCUGAGGAGGAGAAGGUGAGAGGAGCUCUCUCUCCCUUUCUUUGCAUUUUUACCCCCUUUGCUUGGUUUUUAUUUGGGUUUUCUCUCAUCUUUUUGCAUCUUGGUGGCUUCUCCACCAUUGUUGAUGGCUUAGAGCUUGGAGAGGAGCUUGUGGCUGAGGAGAUCUCCCACCCCACUUGGAUUGGAGCUAAGUUUGGAGCUUCUUGAGAGGUUAGAGACUUGAUUUCUCCCUUUGAUCCUUGAUUUGAGGUUUUUGUGAGAUUAAACCCUAGAAUUGGAAUAUUAGGGUUUAUAUUGGGCAUUUUGGAUCUAGGGCUUUUGAAGCUAGAUUGUUUGGAUUAGAGGCUUCCAUUAGGUUGGAUUGGAUGAGCCCUAGCUUCAUUUUGGAGCUUUAGAGGAGAUUUUUGCACUAGAGGUGAGUUUUCUACACCUAUGCUUGAAUAGCUUAAUGAUUGAGCUAGGUUUUGUUUGUUUGGCCGUGUAUGAAUGUUUUUGUAUCUAGGAUGUAGGAGAUAGAGGACCUGUUGUGAGCGCGAGGAGUUUGUUAGCCUCGGUGGGUUUGGCUUCCUCGAAAUUGGGGAAAUUCCUAUAAGUGGUUUGUUUCAUGCCUUAAUUAUCUUUAGUAGAUUUAUGGGUUUUGAUGUUGAAUAUUUGUUCGUUGAUAAGAAAUUUUCUAUUGUAGGGAGAGAAGGCAAUGUGCUUUGUUAAUAUGCAUGCGACAAUUAUUCUAUGAGUGACGAAAUCAGGUUUAUGGCUUCCGGUUUGAACUAGAUUGUUUAAGUUCUUGAAUGUUGUAUCCAUGUUGCGGCAAAUGAGCAUAGUGUGGGCCUUGGACUAGAGAUUAUUUAUGCAACAUUAGGCUUGGAAUUAGGCAAUUGACAUACAUAUUUUCCAUAUUUUGAGUAUGCAUAUUAGUGACUUGCCACGAGGACAUUUAGUAUAUUAUACAAUGUAUUGGACUGAGGUUGAUAUGGAUGUGUUUGACUAGCUUGCUUUCGUGUCAUGCAAUUGUUUGAGGGUCGCUUCAGCGUAUCCGAGAUGGCCAUGCGAUAACAUAUUCGCGGUGGGGACUUGAGGGCGCGAGUGGAUUGCGUGGGGCCAGGCUCUUAUAGGGUAGGAUCAUGAAUACCCGGGUUAGGUCGACGGCCGAAGCCUCCGGGUGCGGUUCAGGGAUAGCGCUUCGGUGGGAUUUUCGCUUGGAUUUUAUUCGUUAGACAUUUUGGAUGAUGAUGAUUAGAGUAUUAUUUUGGACAGUUGAUCGAUAGUAAACGGAAUUUACGUAUUUGCAUUGUGGCAUUUUGAUGUUGGAGAUUGUUCUUCUGAAUGGCUUGUUUCUACUUUGCUAUUUAGGUAUGAGAUUCAUUGUAGUGUAGUUAUUUUUUUCUUACCUUUCGCUUUUACAUUUUUGGUCAUUACUCUUCUUAGCUUUGGGCCUUGUGGUGCAUUCACUGAAGUCAGUAAUUGCCCACUGGGAACUAUUUUUAAUAGUUCUCAUGCCCCCGUUUUGUGGUUUACUUUUCAGAGCCUUCGGCACCGGCGGAGGCACGGGAUCGCGGCAAGGGGAUCGCUUAGCUAGCUAGCGAGGAGCGGUACUUUGCCUAGGUGGUUUACUCUUUCUUUUUGUAGUUGAGAGAGAGUGAGAGAUUUUGUAUUCAUGUAUAGAGACCACCUAUGUACCUACUUAUAGCUCUUGUAUUUGGGAUUUCCUAUUAUUCUUACUCUAUGUUUUAUUUAGUGGAUUUACUGUUUUAUCCUUAUCCCUUGUUGUAGCAUUUAGACAUUUAUUAUGCUCUGAUACUUCUAGAUGUCUUUUAUUAUUGCUGUUAUUAUUGUUGUUUUUAGACGCCUUAUAUGUUGUAGACAUAUGGCGGGUCUGGGCACGCGCCGGGCGGGCUCCCGCUGGGUCCCGGGGCGUGACACAAGUUUAGGUGGUCUACCUCUCGAUGUUUUAUUUUGUGAGAGGUUGAGAGUUGUACCCGUAUAUGUAUAGAGACCACAUUUCUUUUGGAUCUUGGUAUUUCUUUAGAGGAGUUAGUUUUGUAUCACCUUAUGUUUUACUUUCUUCGUCUUGGUAUAUUUCCUUUACUCUGGUUUAUAUGAUAGAACUUUGCUCGCUCUGAUAUCAUUAGUUGUUACUAUUCUAUUUGUUCUAUUUCUUGCUUUUACUUCCGCUUGUUGUAGACGCCUUAUAUGUGUAGACAUAUGGCGGGUCUGGGCACGCUACCAGGAGGGCCUCCGCCGGUCCCGGGGCGUGACAUCAUCUCUCAUGGACUCCUCCUGGCACUCCACAACUUAAUAGAGUAUUUGAAUGGAGAAAUCGUACUUUAUUAGAUAUGGUGCGAUCCAUGAUGAGUUUCACAGAUUUGCCUAUAUCACUUUGGGGGUAUGCUCUCCUUACUGCUGCAUAUAUCUUAAACAGAGUGCCUUCUAAAUCUGUUUCUACUACUCCAUAUGAGAUUUGGUUUGGUAGAAAGCCAACUCUUGGUCACCUCAAGAUUUGAGGAUGUCCGGCUUAUGUUAAGAAGUUAAAAAUGGACAAAUUGGAAGUAAGGUCGGAUAAAGGUAGAUUCGUUGGUUAUCCCAAAGAAUCACUGGGAUACUAUUUCUAUUUUUCCCAUGAUCAAAAUAUUAUUGUGAGUCGGCACGCCUCUUUUCUUGAGAAACAAUUUAUUCAAGAAGGAGGUAGUGGGAGGAAAAUAGAACUCAAUGAGAAUGUUUCUGAUGAGCAACGAAUCCACCAUGAUCAACCGAAAAUCUCUGUUCAAUUGGAACCAACAUACACACAACCACUUCGAAGAUCUAGUAGAGUCUCCCAACCUCCAAACAGAUAUUUGGGAUUUGUCGUAGAAGAGGUACAGGAAAUGUUUCUAAUAUGAGAUAAAGAUCACAAACAUGAUCCUACUGGUUAUGAUGAGGCGAUGUCAGACAUCGACUUUGAGAGAUGGAAGGAAGCUAUGAAGUCUGAAAUGGACUCCAUGUAUUCCAACUAGGUUUGGACACUAGUUGAUUUACCAGAGGGUAGAGACCUAUAAAGCAAGGCUUGUGGCGAAAGGUUAUAGUCAAUGAGAAGGUAUUGACUAUCAAGAGACCUUCUCGCCAGUGGCUAUGCUAAAAUCCAUUCGAACCUUACUCGCUAUCGCUGUACAUUAUGAUUAUGAAAUAUGGCAGAUGGAUGUGAAAACCGCGUUCCUUAAUGGAUAUCUUGAGGAAGAUAUCUAUAUGGAACAGCCUCAAGGUUUUACCUCUAGCAAAGAUAAUCAUAAAGUGUGCAAGCUUCAGAUAUCCAUAUACGGAUUAAAACAAGCAUCUCGAAGUUGGAACACUCGUUUCAAUGAGGCAAUCAAAUCGUUUGAUUUCAUCAGAAAUGAGGAAGAACCAUGUGUGUAUAAAAAGAUUAGUGGGAGUGCUGUCACAUUUCUCGUAUUGUACGUGGAUGAUAUUCUUCUAAUAGGGAACGACAUUGGGAUGAUGUCAUCGGUCAAGUUGUGGCUAUCCCAGAAUUUCUCCAUGAAAGACUUAGACAAUGCAUCCUACAUUUUUGGUAUAAAGGUCUAUAGAGAUAGGUCUAGAAGAUUUCUCGGCCUAUCUCAGAGGAUGUACAUAGAAGAAGUGCUGAAGAGGUUUAGCAUGGAAAUUCCAAAAGAGGUCUAUUACCUCUAAGACAUGGAAUUUAUCUCUCCAAAAAGAUGUGUCCUAAAACACCUGAGGAGAGAGAACGCAUGAAUAGAAUCCCAUAUGCUUCAGCUAUUGGGAGUCUAAUGUAUGUAAUGCUAUGUACGAGACCUGACAUCACACAUGCUAUGAGUGUCACGAGCAGAUAUCAAUCUAACCCGGGUUUGGAACACUGGAUUGCAGUUAAGAAUAUCCUCAAGUACUUGAGAAGAACUAAGGAUAUGUGCCUGGUCUUUGGAGGUGGUGAGUUGAAGUUGGAAGGCUUCACAGACUCUGAUUUUAUGUCAGAUGUUGAUGAUAGAAAAUCUACAUCAUGAUAUUUGUUCAUAGGUAAUGGAGGAUCUAUUGUUUGGAAGAGUUCCAAACAAGUGACGAUCGCCGAUUCUACUAUGAAAGCAGAAUAUAUUGCUGCAUCAGAAGCCUCGAAGGAGGGUGUUUGGAUCAGAAAAUUUAUUACAGAACUCGGUGUUGUUCCAGCUAUUGAAGAACCAACACCGCUUUUCUGUGACAAUAAUAGCACCAUAGCUUUAGCUAAGGAGCCAAGAUCUCAUCAGAAAUUCAAACAUAUUGAACGGCGAUAUCAUAUCAUCAGAGAAUAUAUUGAAAAAAAAGGAAUAUCCGUGCAAAAGGUUGAUUUUGCUGACAAUGUAGCAUACCCAUUAACCAAAGCACUCACUCAACAAAAGCUAGAAGGCCAUCUUAAUGUAACAUAUCACAUCCCUCGUAAAUCGUGCCGAGUUCCGUCGAAAUGUGCGGAAUGCGGAGUGGAACAAGUUGGUAUGGGCUAGUAGUACUUUGGAGCCCAUAUAUAGUGCAAAGGGACCUGAGAGAGUGAAAUUCCAAAAUCUGGGUAAGUUCCAGAUUUUGUGCUCUCGGGGACCGGUUGCUGAAGGAGAGACCGGUCCCCGUACGCGUAGCUUGCUAGGAAUCCUGAGGCAACCGGUCCCUGGCAGUGAGACCGAUCCCCGAGGAACCGGUCCUUAAAGGAGAGACCGGUCCCUCACUGCGCAGCCAGCCAAAAACCCCAAAAAUUGGCUAUGUCCUGAAAAUCAGACUUUCGGGAACCGGUCCCUUGUUGGGGAGACCAGUCCCCGACUGCGAAAAUUGCCCAGUAAGGGCUGAUGCAAAUAUUGGGAGUUGGGGGGGUCUUGUUGCUAAUGUUGCAACAUGUUAUGUACCCAUCCCCUCUCACCCUCUCUCCCACAGCCAUUUCUACUCCUUUCUCUCUCAUUUCUCCCUUUCUCUCUCUCUAGAUCAUCCCCUAGAGCUUGGAGAAGUAGGAGAAGAAGCAAGGAGAAGUGGGUUUUGGAGGCUUUGGUGGAUCUAAGAGCUCUCCUAUAAGAAGGAUCUUGGGAGGAGCUUGGGCGAGGUAAGUUUGAGCAAGUAGAACUCUAGGGUUUAGUUUUAAACCCUAAGAUUUGGAGUUUUGAGUUUGUUUCAAGCUUUAGAAACCUUAUAGAGCUCAAGACACCAUGAAACCAUGGUUUCUUGAGGUGCUCUCAUGGUGAACCCCUAGGGUUCAUGCUAGAUGCCCUAGGAAUGUGUAGAAUGGCUUUGUAAAGGUAUUAAAGAGCUUCCUAGGUGAUUCUAAGCUAUCUUUUGCUUAGGGAUGAGAUCAAUUUAGGAGAAAUCUCAUUGUGACAUUGUUAGGGCUCAAAUUUGGGGCUUUUGCCCUAGGAUUUUUCGGGGACGAAUUGACCUCGUAGAAACCUAAUUGGGGGUGUCCUCGACGCGUUGGACAACUCCGUUCAACGUUAUGAAAAUGUCUAAGUAUAGCUUGUGUUUGUAGGGCCUAAUUUGGCACUAUUUUGGUUAUAGGACGCGGAUUCGGCGUUCGUAAAGUUCGGGAGUCAACAUAUUCCUCAUCUACUACCACUCAAGAUGGGAGGUGCACACCGGAAUCAUCGGAUUCCCCUUUAUGUCUAUUUUCACCUUUGUUGAGCAUACUUUUAUAUAGAGUCAUUCAUGCAUAGUAGGGAUAUUUACAUGUGAUUAGUGGUUAGAAUUUUAAUAUUGUACUUCUAACGUAGUUGAACAUAGUGAUUGAACAAGAACCAUAAUGGACAUGUAUGUAGAACCCUAGAAGAUGUAUGAAUGCAAGACUUGGACAUUGAUUGUAGUAAACAAGGGUGGCAAUGACAAUAGAGACAUGAUUGGCCAUGAGAACGAAAUUGUUACACAAGGUUUAACAAUAAUGGCACUGAGACAAGAACAAUAUAGAACAUGACAUGAACAAAAGGUAGAAACCUAUCAUGGCAUCGGCAUUGUGACUAGCGGCUAAGUUUCCUCAACUUGAGGAUUGGAUCGAGGCUCACAUGGAUUUAGGCUUGUGGGAGGUCGCUCCUCCACAAGUGGUGUACUUCUGAGUGUAGACACCAACGGGAAAGUACCCCGUCAACGAUCCCUCGGGUGGUUGUGCUUAAAGCCUCCCCCGGUAGAUGGGAAAUGGAAUGGUGAGCUAUUGGGGUUAACAAAGUUAACCGGUAAGAUUGGGUAAAGAAAGACAAGGUAAAGAAAAGAACAUGCAUGCAUGCAUACUAAAUAUUGUUGAUUACAUAUAUCCACUGACAUUCUUUUGCAGGCAUAGUAUUAGAUGCAUUAGUACUGGUUACUUUUCUUCCUUUGUCAUACUUAUGCCUGGAUAGAUCUAGUGGGUAAGUCGGCGAGGUCGGAUGCCGAACCCACUGGAAACUUCGUUGUAGUUCUCACACCACUAACCCCACAGGUCGUAGCACGAACGGGGCGGCGGAGGACCGAGGCAAGGGUUUAGCGCCGUAGAUAGCGGCCUCCGGGACUUUCUCACAUUUUGUAGUCAUUUUCCUUUUUGCUUACAUGUAUCAACUUCUUUUGUUGAUUUAGAAAGUUGUAAAGUUGAAAACUGUCACGCCCCGGGACCGGCGGAGGCCCUCCCGGUAGCGCGCCCAGACCCGCCAUAUGUCUACACAUAUAAGGCGUCUACAAUAAAAGCGGAAGUAAAGCAAGAGAUAGAAUAAAUAGAAUGAAUAGCAACUAAUGAUAUCAGAGCAAGUAAAGUUCUAUCAUCUAAACCAGAGUAGAAGAAACAUAUAUAAACAAUAAAAGUAACCAUAAGUAGUACAAUAUCUGUCUCAAAGGUACACAAAAGGGUGGUCUCUAGUACACUGGUACAGCUCUCAACCUCUCCAAAAAGAAACAAAGAGAGGUAGACCACCUAAACUCGUCACUCACUGAAGGGCUAACUCGAAGCAACACCCUUCCCAUAGUCCCUAGCCUCUCCCGGCGUGGAAGGCUCUGAAAGAAAACAUAAAACAGGGGGCAUGAGAACUAUAAUUUAUAGUUCCCAGUGGGCAAUUACUGACCUCAGCUCAAUGCACUACUAGGCCCCAAAGAAAAGGGUAAGUCAAAAGAGGACAAUAAUAACGAAUAAAUUGCAUUUAUGAAAGCAUAAUUAAAAUGCUGAAUAAACUACACUGCAAUCAAGCAUGAUGUUUAUAUAAUGCACCUUUACUUUAUCAUAAUCAAUAUGUCUCUACAUGGCCGCAAGUGACUGUCAUGAUUUACUUUAUGGUAUUAUGAAGAUCAUGCUUUACUAUGGUAAACAAUAUUUACAUGAAUGCAAUAAGCAACAUCUCCUAGCAUGCUGUAUGUAUAUGUGUAUACUCAAGUGUCCAAUACUAUGCUAGAAGCAAGUCCAGGUAAUCCAACUACUACUCUCUAUCUAGUAGUGAUUAAAACCCACUCGACACCGUGUCGAUUUCCAUUUCCAAUUAAGGACCUACCCAAGGUAGUCCAGCUUGUGCCGCCUAAGUGUCUGUGGUAGCCCAAAAUUCCUGCUCUUGGAAUGUGUCUGUCCCACUCGACUCCGUAGGCUUCUCAAUACCGCACGAGCGAACAUAGGUCGCGUAGGCUAACUCCGGAGUGCUGGCUUGUAAGGAGCGACCCUCACAAGCAUGUGCGAAUGCGCACAAAUGGCAAGCAAGCAUAGUUCAAGUCUCAAGUAUCCAAUCCUUAUGUUUCUAACAUGGUAUAGUCACUAGCAUCCCGAAGAUCUAGUUCUAAGUCACAAUGUGAAGUUUCGACAUUCUUUAUGCCUAGUGCCUCUUGAUGACACUUAGACAAUUUAAUGUUCAACAUGUUUCCAAUCCCUGAAUGGCCAUAUUCACUAGGUUCAACCAUGUCCCGAGCUCAAUGCCGCUUAAUGAUAUUAGCCAUCUAAAUCACAUAAUAACAAAGUUCGGUGCCUCUAUAUAGCAACUUUGUUAUCUCUCAUGUCUCAAUUAAACUUAAAUUUGAAUGCAUGUAUCAUGACUCAUUUAUACAGUAGAAACAUGAAACCAAGUCUCAUAUAGAACGUCAAUGCAACCCUAUGUCUCUCAAGCAACUCUCUACUACAUAGAGGUACAAAAUUUCAUUAUAUGUAACAUAGACAUUUUAAGCAUUCUAAAAAUCAUAAUAAAUACACGUAACAUGAAUUUGCAUGCUUUUUUAAUUAACGAUACUCAAAUCAUCAUAAAUGAGAUUUUCUCAUUGUGUGGCUAGGUCAAACCCACCGAACCGUCGCGUAGUCCUUCGUUUCGCCGAACGGAGUUGUCCACGAGUCUCAAAAUACCCUAAAAGUAUUGAGCGAAGAGAUACAUGGGCAUUACGAUUAACUAUAAGAUCAAACAUUAACAAUUAUAGCAAAAGGGCUAAAACUCACCUAAUGAGUGGAAAAUCUCUCUCAAGCUCCAAAAGAGAGCUAAAUCCCUUCCAAUCCAAUCCAAAGAAGGGUUCUAAUCCAAAUAAUUUAGCUCCAAAAGCCCUAGAAUCAAAAUGCCCAAAAUAAGCCCUAAAUCUCCAAUCUAGGGCUUCAUCUUGAAUCCAUCAAUAAAACUCGAAUCGAGAGGGAGAGAAUAAGUAGAUUAUCUCUUAGAAGUUACAAUCCAACCUCUAAACUCUCUAAACGCCAAGAUCUCCCCCCAACAAUGCUCCAAAUCCAAGCCCUAAGCUGCAACAAUGGUGGAAAUGCCUCCAACAAGCAAAAAGAGAAGUUUAAUCUCUUUAAAACCCAACAAAAAAAGAUCAAAACCAAAGAGAGGCAAGGUGGGGUUUCUCUAACCUAGUCUCCCUGAGUUCUCAGCUCAAAAGAAGCCCUAGGGGGCGUAGGUGCUGAUAUAAGAAGCCCACAAUCGCGAAAAACCCCCUGCAGUUGAAACUGUACGAAAUCAGCCCCUUUGUACUGGUACACGGGCUCUUGUACCGGUACAAGCCCCACGAAAAUCACAACCCGACGCUCGGGUUGGCGGGUUCAGCGGCUCUGUACCUGUACAAGCCCCUGUACCGGUACAACCAUCAACCCUUGUACCGGUACAACCAUCAACCCUGUACCGGUACAAGGCCUGCUGAAAGCUACCCGAGGACUAACAAAAAAUCCGAUAUUUCGGGUUUUGGUGCACAGCUUUAAACCUCGAUUCUCGGGACGCGAGCCAUAGGUCGGAACACUGUCAACGACCCACCAGAAAGUCUGGAAAUGCUGAGCACACAACUAACCACUCGAACCUCGCAAUUUGCAAAGGUCCAGUGCGUUACAAAAACAAUCAUGUAAUUUUGGUGAAUGGCUAAAUGUAAAGAAUUAUGAAUGAAAGCAAAGAAAUGUAAUAGUUCAGUUUACUAGUAUUUGGUUUAAAUUUAAUCAAAUAUCAUGUAUGUGUAUAUUUUAGCUUAGAGCUUUCGCUUCCGUUGUUGCUUGCCCUCGUGCAAGCCUUGUAUAAUUGCAUAUCCCUUUGUUGAUUGCUUAAUUAUAUUUAUUGUUGGAGCCUUGGGCGGACAGGGGAAAUGCUGUCCGUUCGGCGUCUGUUGACGUGGCCCGAACCCGACCAAAUUGGCGGGGAUUGGGGCGUGACACUUGAGAAGAUGGGAAUGCGCGAUAUGGGUGAUUGGCUUUAGUGCAAGUGGGAGAUUGUUAGUUAUAUGCCCUAUAAGCCAAUCCUGUCAUAACUUAAAGGGUUAAUAUCAGUGUACUUUUCUUUUAUGAUUAAAUCUGGCAUUCUUCAUUCAUAUUAUUGCCAAAUGCAUAUUUAUGAAUCGUUCAUAGAAUUAAUAGUAGAAGAAUUAACUUUCUGAGUUAGAAAUUUGAGACAUAUAUUCUUCUGUAAUUAAUUCUUAAAUGCUCUCGAUCAUAGGAUUAUCAUGAGGGCGGUGGUAAAUCCGGAUAUAUUAGUGCAUGCUAUACUUCCUUUAUGAGAUGACGAGUCUCAAGUCAUUAGUGUUGAAAGUUUUGAGGAGCCCGAGGAUCUAUCUAGAUUGUAUCUAUCACCUAGAGGGGGGUGAAUAGGUGUAACGGCCAAAAACCACAAAUCUCGAUGCAAUAAAAAUAAAUGUGGAAAAUAAAAAGCACACCGAGAUUUACGUGGGAAAACUCCAACUUGGAGAAAAACCUACNGCCGGACCGAGCAAGCCACUAGCUUGUUUCGACCCAAAAAAUGUGGGCCGUGUCGGCCCGGCACGGCCCACAUUAUAUCCCUAGGUGGAUCCAGUAGGGUGGAGCAGCUGAAGUCAGAGCCUAGUUGAGCCAUUAUGAGGCUCGGUCUGCAACGGAGAAACAAGAGUGCCCAGCUCGUGUAGUUAGGCUCUAGACUUACAGCAAAAAAAGGGCCCAAGAGAACGUAGCCAUCAUUAAGCACGUUGAUUGAUGGAGCAAGAGCAGUGAUGGCCAGAGAUGCGAAGGAUUUGGUGGGGCCCAAGGAAGAAGUGGAGCCUACGCAAUUAAUGCCCCAUCUGGACUUAGAAGUGGGGCCUACGCAUUUAAUACCCCAGUUGGACUUGGGAUGGGCAUGGGGCUCGGCUAAAGAUUGAGCAAUUAAUGCACAUUUUCCCUUGGGAUGUCUAGUAGCAGGGCUCGCAUCCCGGGUCGCUUCGGAGUGGACGCCCCUCGGGGGAGUGGGGGGGUAGUUAAAGCGGGAGGAGCAAAAAGGAAUGUCAGGUUCCUAGGAAAAACACUCUUAAAGACGGGUUUCACCGAAAAGGAUGGGCUAAGUGGCGGUAGGAUGGGGCGUUUGAACUGGUCAACGGCUCCUUCUCGGCCAGGGUGCGCAACAAUGGGAAACUCUGGGCCCGACGCAGGGAGGAUGGUCGGAGGUCAGUCACGGCUAGUCGGGCGAGCCCGACCAUCCGCGGCGGUUGGCCGGUCCGGGCGGUUGGCCGGUCGAGGCGGACGGGAUGGUUGUCAGGAAGGAAGUUGCAUCUUCUGUCGCGUAUCUCGGAGGAGUUCCAAGUGUUGGAGGCCGUACUAUGCUGAUCCCCUUCCUCUUCAUUAUGGCCGAGAAGGGCGUCGGAGGUCCGUACGUCAGGAUCGUGGUGAGCAGACCUCUUGUUGUGUGGGGGUGGGGGAUUGCCUCGCGUGUCAACACCAACACGGUCUCACCUUUCAAUUUGAAUGAGAAAUGAGACUGAGAUGUCCCCGAAGGUGAUUUCGAGAUUUUUUGGGAUAUCGUGAAGGUGGUUGACUGCAAUAAGGCAACAAUAUCCAGUGGGGUCGUCCAUCCACGAGCUUCGGUCGUCUGCUCAAAGAAAUCUACCGAAGCCGCCGACGAAGGCUGCCACCACGUGGGAAGACCAACAUUCAUAAGGGAGGCUGACGAAGCAGAUCCAGGCCUGAUAAGGGAUGGGAGAGCGACGAGCCCCAUUGUACGGGUCCCAGGUGAAGCAUCUCAGCCGGAGGUCCCCUAGGGAGAUGUGUUCCCUGUGAACGAGUUGAUUGCUCUGGACCCAUUCCGGGAGAAACACGACAAUGUCUCGCUCGCUAUAACGGGUGACCAAAAAAUCAUUCGGGUAUCCGCCGUAACGGUUCGCGAGCGCAUUGGCAAUGGUUUCCUUCGGGAAGUGUUCGAGGUUCGCUGGGAGGAGCACGUCGGCAAUGAUAGCAUUGCGUCUUUGAUUUUGUCGGGCAAGGAAAUCUUCGGUGAGAGGGACAAAAGCACUCAGGUAGGCCGAUUGAGUACGCAUAGCUCGGUAGAUGCUCAUUGGUAGACGGUUCAUGCAGGAACGAGCUUUGUGUCCCAGCGCGAAGCAGCUAACGCACUGAAGCGCGUCACGACAUUGUGACGCCCGGUGAUCUCUUCCGAGACACCUAAAGCAGUGGUCUUUGAAAGCGCAAAGAUCUGAUCUGGAGGGGGGCUGAGAAGAGGAUCUUGGGAGGGUGGGAGGUUGGGUAGCAGGAGUGGCAGGUGAGAGGAGGGCUUCUUUGUAGGUCUUCUUAAGAGGCGCAGGGACGGAGUUCAUCUGUUGACUGAGCUCGGCGGGUAAAUGCAUGUGUUCCGAAAGGCCCUUAUCAAGGAAACAAUGCCUGGGGGCUUUGCAUCGAUUGUCAGCCAAAGAUGAGUCCACUGAGCUGAAAUGAGUAACGUGAGUUAAUGCGAAUCCUGCGGAAUCGGCCAAACGAACUUUCAUAGGGGUGCAACCAUUAAUGCAGGAGCUGCGAGGGUUGGAGGGCGAAGUAGAUGUGGAAGAAGGUCUCGAGAUGCAUUUGAGUUUCUGGAACCUCAGUUCCGGAUCGGGGUGCAAGUCCCCACGCAAAGCAACUGCCUUCUCAGGUCGAAAGGCCUCCGAGGUCGCCGUGGCCUUCCUGUUCCUUUGCCAGUUCUUGCUGUGUGUGCUGGGGAUCCUUCUCUCAUUCUCUCCUUCAUGGCUAUACGUAGUAAGUGUUGUUUGACUAUUGGUAUUAGAAAAUACCCUUAGAAGACUAAUAUUAAAAGUAUCUUUUUAACGUAUUAAGUUAUUUCAAAUAUAACUCUAGAAUUAAUUCUAUUAGUGAACAGUUGAAAAGAUACUAGAAGACUAUAUUAAAAGUAUCUUUUUAACGUUCUAAAUUAUUUCAAAUAUAACUCUAGAAUUAAAUUAUAUUGUGAACAGUUAGUAAUGGUCGUUAUCUCUGUGAAAUUAUUAGUUUGCCCUUUCAAAUGUACCCUUUUAUAUUUACCAAUUUUUUUUAUUUGCCUUUAAGUUACAGGCAAAAAAAGUAUUUUAAAUUUUUUGUCUUUUCAAAUAUAUUCUUCUACGUACCAUCACCGAUUUUUUUUAUUUGCCUUAAGUUAGGGACAAAAGAGGUAUUUUGACAUCUCUUUAACUUAAGUAGAAAUUCAACUCGGGUUUAACACGAGAUGAUAUAGCGGGUAAAAACAGUAGGGGUAUUUUUGAAUAACAGAGAAAUAUAUGAGUGUAUUUGAAAUAAAAAAAAAAAGUAAAUGUAUAUAUAAGAUAUUUCAAAAGUUUUCAUGGGUAUAUUAGAUAUUAUCCACUAAAAAAAACUAGCAAAUGUAAGUCCAAUGAAUGUAGCACAAAAUAGAUCGAAGAUAUAAAUUGAUUUUUUUAAAAAUAAUUAAUUUGAGCAAAAUAAUUUUUAGGGAUUCAAGAAUUGACGCCUAGAGCAAUUGGAAAUUCAAAAUUUGGCACCUAGAAUAAUGUUAUUUUUUGAACGCACGUUUUGUCUUUUGUUCUUUUCUUACCCGCAGAGAAAUUAAAUUAAAAAAUUAGCACUUGGGAAUUCAAAAUUGACGAAAAAGAUAUGGAAUAUGAGAUUAUAUUAUGACUUUUUCUCUUGAAAAAAAGAAGAUUGAUAUAAAAUAUUGUAGGAUAUGUGUAGUUAAAUAAGGUUGUUAAAACCAUAUUUUAAUGAUACAAAUUAAUAAAGAAUAAAUGAUACAACCUAACAGAUAAGAAAAACUUUGAAAUAAUUUAAAAUUUGAAGUUUGUAAUUUAAAAAUUUGAUUUCGUAAAGAACAAUUCAGACUACAAAAUAAUUCAAAAUAAAAUGUUUUAUUAUUUGUGUAAUACCUUAAAUUUUAGACCCACUUUUUGUAUAAAAGUUUGAAGUUAUUUUAGGCAUUUCUUGUUAGAUUAUUGCAAUUUUUUAGUAGAUUUAUUCGGGCCAAUCUCAGCCGAUUGCACGGUUGGCUGCACGGGACCUCUCAGUUGACCUACCUGAGCUUCCAGCUUCACCAACCCCACCCUAUUUAUUCUUUCUUCUCUUUUUCCUCCGAUCACCCUAUUUUGCCUACGUAUAUAAUUUCUUCUUCUUCUUCUUCUCUCUUGCACUCCUCCACCUCCUCUCAAGUCCAUGUUCUCUCUUUCUCCUCUCUGUCAUGCCCUGGGCUCAAGCAGAAGCUCCCCCAGUAGCGUGUCCAAAUCCAUCGUGUAUAAGGCUCCCUUACUCACACGAAGUAACAACUCACAAUAAUCAACUUAUAUAAAUAAUUAAAUAAGAAAUUCAUACAUGUUAGAGUACCAAAGCAUGAAAAUACUAUUCUUUUACAACUACUAAUCCAAGUGAAUUAUUUCAAGUUUUAGUUCAAAUGUUAGUAUCCUCGAAAUGUCAUUGUUCUACAAAGGUUUCAUCUCUAGACACAUCGAAGAAAGCGGUGGAAAGCUAGCUAUUGCAUAAGCUCCAUGUCUUGAUCACCCAUGAAGAACAAGGGAUACUGUGAAAAAGAAUUCAACAAGAAUGUGUGAGAACUAUAUAAAAUAAUUUUCAGUGGGUACAAUCGCCGUAAGGAGCAUUCUAUCCAUUAGGUCUACUAGAGGCACAGUAUCAAAAUAAUAGAUAGUAGAUGCAGAGAAGAAAAUAAAUACUAACAAAAAUUUAGAUCUACUACCAUGCCUAUACCAUAUCAACGAUGUCAAAUAUCAUCUCUACAUGCAUCAAUUUACAUGCAUAUAAGUUGAGCACUUAACAUCCACUUUACCGAACUAAUCAAGGUCUAUUCAAGCUUUCACCUUACCUAGUGGAAUGUCGAACAAUUGCAUAUGAAUCCAAACAUCAACACUCAACAAUUAUGGCGAGGUGAACAACAACAACCUCCCUUGGCUAUACCUCUGGAGGGUCACGACUUGUUGGGAGCGACCCUCACAAGAAAAUGAGCCCGUUGAGUUUAUUUUGACUCUUGCAAGCUAUAAUCACUAUCCAUAGCCAUCAUGUCACUACUAAACAUAGAUGAAAGUUUUUAACUACAUUGGCAUUUUGUCGAACACCUUAUGUGCACUAUCCUAAAUCCAGCUCUAUAUGUCAUUUUGCCUUAUCCAAUUGAUGUCCCACUACAACAUCAUGUUCACUAAAUAUGUUUAACUUAAGAAACAUAAUAACAAGAUUCACAAGGCAUGCAUGUAUAAAAAAGUUCAACUCCAGUAGGUAGGUUUUCUAUGUUCAAGGAUCAUUGUUUAAUAAGAAAUAUCUACUUUAACUAGGUUUAUCUCAUGCAACAUAUGAUAGAAAAAUAACUAGAAAUAAAAAUGAAAAAGGUAUAAGAGGAGAUUGCCCAUUUCGGAGACUUAAACCCACCAAUUCUUUGAAAAGAAUCAUUGAAAGCUCGAUCAAAUGUGUUGAGUUCACCAAACAACCUUAUAAGAGAGGUUCCAACCCAUCAAUACUAUCUAAAAGCCUUUAAAAAGAAAAUCCUGAAACCUAAAUCCUAAAACCAUAUUCUAUCCCAAAACUAUCAAAAUCAUACUAUUUAAAGCAUAGGGGAAAAUAAGAAAUUAUCCCUUCCAAGCACCACUUUCUGAAUCAAGCCUCUUGAAUCUAGGGUUGGACUCUUCAAGAAAUGGUUUCUCCUCUUCUCUUGCUCCAAUUUUAAAUUAGGUUGAGGUAGAGCAUUCCAAAGAGAGAAAAGAAUGAAGUUGAGGCUUGGAGGAGAUCCAAUAGUGGAUAAGGAGAAGAAAAGAAACGUGGAGGACGGGGGAAGAGUUUUCUCUCUUUUGAAUUAGGAGAGAAUUGGAGGAAGAGAAUGAAAGGGUGUUUUAUAAAUAAUCUAGCCCCCUGCCCUCCAACACAGCCUGCACACAAGCAAGUACUAGUACUCGAAUUGGAGUACUGAUACUCCCUUAUUGAGUACUUGUACACUCCUACAAGUUUUGCAAAAUCCAAGAGUAUCAAUAGUAAAAAAAGCUCAAUGUAUAUUGAUACUUCUUCUUAAGUACUAGUACAUGACAACUAGUACAAGUAUCCAACCUAAGUUCUGCAAAACCAGCGUUCUUCCGCGGAAACUUCUAUUGAGUACCAAUACUCAGAGUUUCAGUACUAAUAUUGAAAGAGAAAACGGUCCAAAUUAUAGGUUGGUUCCAGAAUAUUAUUUUUCACACCAAAACAACCCUAUGUUAGAUGUAUGCCCUAGAAGGCAACUAGGCCGACAUAUGUAUUCUUUUUAGGACAUAAAUUUGUAUUUGAUUUCAAAUAUUAUGAAUAAUUUGGGUUAUUUCCAUUCAUGUUGUAUAUGUGUCUAUGAAUUGUCCAAGUAAUUAAUAAGAUGAUGACACAUAUUCUCAAGAGUUGAGAAUUUGAGACAUGUGUCAUUGGUGGUUAAUUCCUAAAUCCUCCUGGUUCAUGGAUCAUCACGGGGACGGUGAUUGAUCCGGUGAGAUUGGUGCACAGGUCGCUUCCUGUUUUGGAUAGCCGAGUCUUGAGUUAACAGUGUAGGGACACUGGAGUGAAUGUGUAGGUGGUUGUUAGAGAACAAGGGUACUAGGCGUGACCAACACAAGAAGUCACUUGGAUACUCAUUCAUCAGUGACUUACUCAAUGUUGCAGUAGUGUGACUGGUCCUUUGACCUGCAGUGCCUCGACUAUUCACAAUAAGGUUAUUGUAGUUUGACUGUACAUACACUUGGUCUGUAGCCAUUCGGAUCCUUGCGGUGCAUGUUGGUUGUAGUAAGUUCAUUGUAGGAAUAGGGUGUGUACUUAUAUAAAAUCUAUCUCCCUUGGUAGAUAGGGGCGUUAGUUCUAUAUGAUUUAUGAGAUCAAGUUUAGAUUUUUAAUAUUAAAAACUCGAGUUGAAUAAAUUUGAUAUAUGACAGACGAUGGGGUUUGACGAGCUAUUUUAUGACCUUCGUCUAGUCGGGACUCAUGAUAGAAGGACUGUAUCACAUGGUAACUGCACCAAGAGGUUCAGUAUUCUAUUCUACUGGAAUGCCACUACAUAUUGUUAGGUGUCACUGGUGGAUUGUGAAACUCAUGAGAAUUAUCUGAAUAAUCGAUAAUUCUCAUUGGGCAGAGUGAGAAUUGUUCCAACCCACUGAAAGGAGUUUCAGUAAUAUUGUUGAUAGUGAUCAGAAUAUACCUCUCUACUAGAUAGAAUAGAACAUAUUGAGUCACAUACAUAGGAGGUUGUGAUUGAUCAAAUAGUUGGAUCACGAUUUUUGAAUCACCGAAGGACCUAAUUAUCAAUAUAUUAAUAAUUGGACUAAUAUGUAAUUAUUACAAAUUAGUGGUAUUAAAGUGCAAAUAUUGCAAGAGAGGACUUACUAACAGUUAGUGAGUUGUGAGAGAACUUAUGUGCAAAUAUUAUAUUAUUAAUUUGAUUUGAUCAAAUUAGAAUUGAGUUCAAGUCAAUUUAAAUUAGGAUUUAAUCAAUUGAAUUAAUUAAAGGAAAAAUAAAAAUAAACUUAGAUUUAUUCUUAUCCUUAAUGAUAAUUAUAUUAUUAUAAAAGAGAUUAUAUCCCUCUUUAUACGAUACGUGAGUUAUCAGAAAACUCUAGCCGUCAUCUUUUUUCCUCUCUCUCUUCUUUUCUUCAAUCCUCUAGCAAGAAAGAUAUUCUCUGCAAUGGAGCUAGCACAUCGGUGAGGACAUCGAUCAGGUUAGCAAUCUUGUGUGGAUACCUCUAGAGGCCGGACGCUUGUGUAGUUUCAAGAGAAUCAAUUCUACAAUCAUCAGAUUGCGGUGAAAAUCUACCCACACAAAGGUGAAGAUUAGAUCUUUCUUUUUCUCCUUUAAUCUUAAACAAUAUGAGGGAUCCUGUUUGUGUGGUAUUUUGAGAUUGGAUCUGGAGUUUUAAAAAUCAAAUAAGUUUGAUUUUCUUUUUCUACUGCAUUUUAUUGCAUUCAAUAUUCUAACACCUACUCAUUUCAGACUCUUUCGAAACCUCUCAAAUAGAACCAUAAGCCAUUAUUCACUGGACUUUAGCAAUUUCCUAACCGAAUCGAUUGUCCUUCGCCAUUCUAAGAUGUUACUGUCAUUAGGGAGCCAAGCAAAGUGGUAGAGAAGACGAGUUUCAGACAAGAAACUCACACUGGUAAAAGUUUCAUUUGUAAAAUAUGAUUUAUUAUUAUUAUUAUUAUAGAUUUUCUUGGUUUUGAAUAGUUUUACAUGUGUCAUGAUUGACUAUUCUCUAUGUUUGAACAAUUUGUUACUUUUAUUUGUGGUCUGGUGGAGUUUGGGCUCAAAAAGUAGCUUCAGAAUACCGUGUGGUCGACUAACUGUGAUCCAUGGUCAACCAAGAUAAUCUCCAUAUGAAGCUGUAGCUUUUGUUCGUCGAACGUUUGAUUGUCGCCACUUACGACCAUGAACGCCAUAGAGAGCCUAAACUUUAUUUUCUUUUGCUUUGCUGAAGCCUAGUAAUUAUAAUUCUUACUUUAGAAGGCUGUAGUAAUAUAGUCGGGAUUUCUGUGUGUUUUCUCUUUAGAUUCAUUUAUUAUAAGUCCGCAUUUAUCAUCCUUACUUUUCCUUAUCGUCAAGGAUCUUACAAUUUCAAGUGAGUAGUAAACUAUCUCAUUAAAUUAAGCUACCAAAUUAAUAUCUUAAAUUCUUAUUGGUAUUGAUACAUUUGCCCAUUAGAUAUAUUGUUAUGGAGGGUGAUAUUGGAUACAUGAUAUUUAUGUAUUGUAAAAUUGGAUAUAUGAUUGAUGCUUGUUGUAAAAUAUAACUUUUUUUUCCUAGUUAAACCUUAAUUUUAUAAAGAUGUAAAAUAUAAUACUUACAUCGGUCACCCACAAUUCAUAAUGGCACGAUUGGAAUUAACCUUAGAAUUCACCUUGACCAAAUUGUGACCUAAAAUCGCCCACGACUCAUAAUGGCGUGAUUAGAAUAUGGUCUCAUUUACCAAUUUUGAAAUUUGCCGAUCUUAGGAUUCACAAAAAUCUAAACAACUUUUAGUAAAAUAAAAAAGUUGAUGUGAUAAGUAGAAAAUUGAUGGUCCUUAAAUAAAAAGGUUGUAAGAUUUUACACCCUAAUUUGGGGUGUAUCAAUGAAAUUGCUAUCCAAAAAAAGAAAACUUUUGCUUCUACACUCCAAAAGGGGACAUAGAUCUUGCACCUUAUAUCCUAGAGUUCACAAAAAUUCAAAUAAUUUUUAGUAAAAUAAAAAAAUUGAUGCGACAAAUGGAAAAUCGAUAACCCUUAGGUGAAGAGAGUGUAAGAUUUACACCCCCACUUUGGAGUGUACUAAUAACAUUACUCUCCAAUAAAGGAAAAUUUUAUUUUUACACUCCAAAAAGGGGGAUGUAGAUCUUAAACCCACUUUUCUAGGGUUCACAAAAAUCUAAAUAGUUUUUAGUAGAAUAAAAUUAUUUGGAGACCUCUCACCUUUACACUAAUACAAAAGUCAUCCCUCAACAAUUAUAUUCUUUUUUAUGGCUAAGAUGCAGAUAAUUUCUCUCUCUAUAUAACAUGUUGUGCUUUACCUCCAGACAAAAAAAAUAUGGCCUUUUAUCUUCUUAAGAUGUAGAUAAUUUCUCUAUUUUUUUUUCCUUGUUUGUCUUUCUCCUUUCACUAACGAACGGUACAUUUCCCUCCUCGUUAUUUUUUUCUCUCCUUCUCUUCCUGUUUCCUCUUUCUUCUCCUCCUUCUCCACUGCCCUACAUUGACGCUGCGCUCUACUAUCUUACCUCACCCACACCUCCGCCGGUGCUAGCUCGAAUAUGACACAGAUCGCGGAGGUGAGGUUGCGGAGGAGCGCAUGGCCGCUAACUGUGGCGGCUAUGAGAGUGCUAUAGGAUUUGAGGACGACGGGAAGAGAGAGCAUGUUGCAAUGGGGGCAGCGGCUGCAGUAGAGGGCAAGGGGCCGCAAUAGUCGGAAAAGAUGCAGAGGGUAGAAGAAAAAAAAUAAAUAAAUAAAGGAAAAAUAUUUUUUCCUCCUAAGAAGACCAUCAUAUGUCGCAACCGCUAUAGGGAAGGCCAAAAAGUGAAGAAGAAAGAAAAUGAUGACGAAGUUACACAAUUUGAGAUGAAAAUUGCACCAUUUGAGACGAAAAUUUCACUAUUUGAGAUGGAACUUGCAUUAUUUGAGACAAAAGUUGCACUAUUUGAGUCGAAAGUUGUACUAUUUGAUAUGAAAGUUGCACUAUUUGAGAUAAAAGUUGCACUCUUUAAGGCGAAAGUUGCACUAUGUAAACAAUUUGAAAAACCAAACUAAGUUGCAAACAGAAAUUAUUUGAGACUAAGUUGCACUGUUUGAGACUAAAUCUCAAAUAUUUUUUAAAAAAUGCAACUUUCACUUCAAAGAGUGCAGUUGUGCAACUUUCGUCUCAAAUGGUACAACUUUUGUCUCAAAAUGGUGCAACUUUUGUCUUAAACAGUGUUACUUUCUUCUUAAGCUGUGCAACUUUUAUCUCAAAUUGUACAACUUCGUCUUCUUCUUUCUUUUAUGCUUCUUUGCUUUUCUUGUAGCAGCCAUGACAUAUGAUAGCCUUUCCAGAAGAUUAGUACUUUUUUUUCUUUUUUUUUUGUUCUAUCCUCUAUAUCUUUUUAUGCUAUUGCACCUCCUCCCUCACCCUCUAUUCCAACCGCAGCCGUUCCCCUUGCCCUAAUGUGCUUUCUCUUCUUGUCAUUCUCAAAUCCUGUGACACUCUCAUUAUCGUUACUGUCCACAACAAUGCACUCCGCUGCAAUCUCACUUCUGCGAUUUGUGCCCUAUCUAAGCCGGCAUUGCCAGAGGUUUACGCGAGGUAAAAGAGUAAAGAGCAGUGUCGAUAUGGGGGCAGUGAAGAAGGAGGGGAAAGGAGAGGAAGCAUGAGGAGAAUGAGAGGAAGAAACGACGAGGAGAAACGAAAAAUGGAAAUAGAAUGACGAAGAUAGAAAAUAAAAUAGAGAUUGAAAAAGGAAUAAGAAUAUUUUGAUCAGUUUACUAAAAAUUUGGGCCGAAUCUAUAAAAUCCAAAAUGAAAUGAUAGCCGGUUUAGCAAAAAUGUAAAGUCAGUGAAUUUUUUUAUGCAAAUUGGCCUUAAAAAAUAAGUUAAAUAAUCAAAAUACCUCUUUUAUGUAAGUUUUCAGAGGAUUAAGUGCAUACGUUUUUAUCCAAAGUGUUAAGAAUAACACCUAACUAGUGAAAUACCCGCGCGAUGCUGCGGAUAUAAGAAUAUUUUUAUAAUAAAUUUUACUCUUUUUUUCAUAUCUUUAUAUAAUUUUAUAAAUCUAAUUAUUAAUUAAAUAAAAGUUAUAUAAAAAUAAUUGAAUAAUUAAAUCUAUUUAAAUAAAAUUUAUUAAAAUUGGUAUAUGUGCAAAGUAAAUUUAUACAAUAAUUUAUUUUAUAAAUAUUUACACAAAAAGGAUUUGAGAUAAGUCUAUCAUAAUAAUUUUAAGAAAAUCAAUAAAUAGAAGAAAAAUAAAAUUGUAGAAGAAAUUGUUUAAUAAAAUUAAUUAUAUAUACACACAAAUAAAUUAUAUUUCUAAAAUUUUAAAAUUUUACGUGAUUUAAAUUUUAUAGAUACAAAUAGUCUAAACUAUUUAAAAACUAUUUAUAUGUUUUAAAAUUUUAUAAUAAUAAAUGAAAAAAAUGUUGGACUUUAAAAAAAUAUAAAUCAUUUUUUUAGCUCAAAUUUAAAUUAAAUUUUUUCUUUCAAUUUUAAUAUUUUUGUGGCAACUUGGCUUUUACGGUUUUACCUAGCUUUUACCUGUAACUAAGGUUUAUCCAAGCCCUUGUGACACCACCCAAUAAAAAAAAAAUUGAAGAGAGAAGAAGAAGAAAAAAAAAAAAAAUCCACUCCCCUUUCCUCCGGGUGUGGCCAAUCCAAACCAAGCCUACCCUACGCUCGAGCGCCUGCGCGAGCUCGCGCCCGCUCACGCCGCCCGCAUCAGCUUGCACCUGCGCCCCCUCACGCCGCACCCAUGCUCGUGCCGGCUCGCACCCAGCGCCCCGCCCCCCACGUCCGCUCACGCGGUCACGCCGCCGUCGUGGUCUAAGUCGCCACCGCUGCUGUAAUACACUGGACUUUCGCAAAUUGCAGAGUUCGAGUGUGUGGAAGGAAGUGUGGAACUAUUCUACAUGUUCUAAAUGACUUGGACAAGUUUUUGAACAAGUUAGAGAGUGAUUGGAGGGUUAAAAGUGAGAAAUUGCAUCAAACAGGCGAAAUCAGCCUUUUUCUGCUUGUUGUACCGGUACAGCCAUCACCUUGUACCGGUACAGACUGGCAGAAAUCUGGCAGCAAGGCUAAUUUGGUCAUUUCACGUUUUGAUCCUAUCUAUUUGAACCCAGCACGACCUGGGAUACUCAGUGGAGCCUGCUGGAGUCCAGAGAAGUGUUCUCCCAUCUUUCUCUUUCUCUCUCUCUAGGGUUUUUCUCUCUCUACGUCGAAUUCGCCGAUUUCGCUCGUUUUCGUCGCCGCGUGCGUUCUUCGCUGGUGGCAAGCGUUGCUGAGCCUAUGUGGACGUGUGAGAGAGUAUUUUGGAAGGUUCUUUGCAACUCUGAACCAGUGGGUUGCUGGUUGGAAGCUUGAGAAGGUAACGACGCGAUGUUUUUCCGUUAUCGGCAUUCUAUUCGUCGAUUUGAGUAUUGAGUUUGAGUUUUUGCUUCUAACCGAUGUAAACUGAGAAUUCAGCUAUUAUUAAUGAAUUAUUCAGCUGUGAAUUAAGCUCCUUAGACUAGGGAUGAGCUUCUUUGAAGAUUAAUUGAGAGAAUUAGCCAUUUAUGAAGCUUAAUCGGAACUAUACGCGGAUUAUUGACGCAGUUUCGUAUGAUUCCUUCGCAGCAGGUUUUCGAACCAUCUAGAGCUAAUUUGGUGACCUUGGGGAUUGAUUUAGAGGGUGUUCUAACCUGAGGUAAGCAGGAAUUUCCAUUCUAAAACUGAUUUCGCAAGAAUUCGGCUAAAUUCACUAGUAUACAUGCGCGUUGACGUCGUUUAAUGAUUGUUCGCAGCGCGAGUGGAAUCGACCUUCGGAUCACUUUCAGCUGAUUAGUGAGAGCUUUUGGAAGCUUAACUUGAGGUAUUUAUUGAGCCAAAACAGGGAUUUCAGCUAUUACGAUGUACUAAGUGCAAUUGCGCCGAAAUCGGACAUUUCGAUCGUAAUUUUGAUACGAUAUUUAUGCUUCAUGUUCAGCAGGAUUGCGACCUAGUGGAGCUGAUCCUUGGGACUCCUUGGACUGAUUUGGAGCCUAGUACUAGGUGGGUCGGACCUAACCAGAGCAAGUGGAGCUCUCCUAUGUUCUAUAUGUAUCUAUAGAAUAGAAUAAUUGCAUAGGUGCUUCGAGUGCAUAUGUGAUUGAUAGAGAAUUGGAAACAUAUCAUCGUGAUGUGUGAUGCUUAUGUGACGCACUGGACCUUUGCAAAUUGCGAGGUUCGAGUGUUUGGACAGUGUCCCGAGUUUUUCCAGACGUUCUGGUGGGUCGUUGACAGUGUUCCGACCUAUGGCUCGCAUUCCGAGAAUUGUAGUAUUUUAUGUAGCGCUAAGGUCACUAAAAAGUUGGACUUAGCCUACUCUCGGAUUGCAUUCUGCACAAGGUGUACCGGUACACUCUUGAUGGCCGUACCGGUACACACUUUGUACCGGUACACGCUUGAUGGUUGUACCGGUACACUUGUGGCAGAUUACGAACCUGAGCCUCGGGUUUGCAUUUUCGCAGGAUGUGUACCGGUACACUUCCCCGUGUACCGGUACACUUUGGCAGAAUCUGAGCGGUUUGUUCUGCAGGGGGUUUUUCGCAAUUGUGGCAUCUCUAUUAGUACCCCCACGCCCUAGGGGUCUUCCCUGAGCUUGGCACCAGCAAGGAGGAAGGUAAGGGAGCUCUCCACACCUCCUUAUUCCUUUUCUUUGAUUUUGCUUGGAUUUUUAGAGUUUAAGCACAUCUUUUUGCUCCUUUUUGGGUAUUGGAGGCUUUUCCACCAUUAGAGCUUGGAUUUGGAGCUAAGUGGAUGAUAGAUCUUGGGAUUUAAAGGAUUCAAAGCUUGAGUUGAAGCUUCUAAGAGGUAAGCAUCAUGUUCUUUCCUCUAGAUUUGAGUUUUAUUGAUGGAUUCAAGAUGAAACCCUAGUUUUGAGACUUAGGGCUUGUUUUUGGGUAUUUUGAAACUAGGGCUUUUGGGGCCAAAUUGGUUGGAUUAGAACCUUCCUUGGGCUUGGAUUGGAAGGGAUUUAGCUCUCAUUUGGAGCUUGAGAGAGUUUUUCCACGCGUUGGGUGAGUUUUAGCCCUUUUGCUAAAUUUGUUAAAGUUUGAUAUUAUGCGAUGAUCGUAAUGCCCGUGUAUCUUGUCGCUCAUUACUUUUAGGGUAUUUUGAGACUCGGGGACAACUUUGUUCGGCGAAACGAGACCCUACGCGACGGUUCGGUGGGUUUGACCUAGCUUACAUAUGAGAAAUUCUCAUAUAUGGUUUUAUAUGUUCCGUAAAAUGGAAAAGCAUGCAUAAUCAUACUAAAUGUAUUUAUUGUGAUUUUUAGAAUGCUUAAAAUGCAUAUGUUAUGUAUGAUGAAAUUUUGGACCUCUAUGUAAUAGAGAGUUGCUUGAGGGAUCUAUAGUUGCAUUUCGCAUUCUUCAUGAGACUUGGUUUCAUGCUACUAUAGUGUAAAUGAGUUCGGAUUCAUGCAUUUAAGCCUAAGUUUACUUGUGUCAUGAAAGUUGAUAAAAUUGCCAUUAGUAGGUAUGUGAACUAGAGAGCUAAUGUCAUCGAGCGUCAUUGAGCUCAGGACAUGUGGGAACCUAGAGGAUAGGGCCAUUGAGGGAUUUGGAAUACAUGUUGAACAUCAAAUGUCUAAGUGUCAUAAAGGGGCACUAGACCUAGAGAAUAUUGAAACUUCACAUUGUGACUUAAACUAGAUCUUUGGGAUGCUAGUAACUAUACCAUGUUAAAGACAUGAGGAUUGGGUACUUGAGACUUGGACUACGCUUGUUUGCCAUUUGUGCUCAUUCGCACAUGCUUGUGAGGGUCACUCCCUACAAGCCGGCACUCCGGAGUUAGCCUACGCGACUACGUUCGCUCGUGCGGUAUCGAGAAGCCUACGGGGUCGAGUGGGACAGACACAUUCCAUGAGUAGGAAUGUCGGGCUACCACAGGCACUUAGGCGGCACAAGCUGGACUACCUUGGGUAGGUCCCUAAUUGGAAAUGGAAAUCGACACGGUUUGAGAAUGAACACUCACUACUAGAUAGGCUUAGUAGUUGGAGUACAUUUACAUGCAUAUAGCAUAGGGUUGAGACAUGUAGUACACUUGGUUGCCAUGAUAGAACUUCUACAUCAUGUAUUGACAAAGGUUAACAACAUUAAACUAGUGCCACUGGACUUAAUUGUAAUGACAAAAUAGAUGUACAUUUUGGUUGACAUCAUGCUUACUUGAGACACAGUAGACUAGCAUUUCAUUUAUGCUCUCUUUUAGCAGUUAUUUACAUGCUCCUUUUUAUUGCUUAUUACUAUAUGUCGUUGCUUACCCUUAUUUUUGGGGCCUAGUGGAGCAAGAGCUGAGGUCAGUAAUUGCCCACUGGGAACUAUAAAUUAUAGUUCUCACGCCCUCCUUUUCUCGAUGUUUUUCAGAGCCUUCCACUCAGGGUGAGGCCAGGGAUCGCGGAAAGGGUAUCGUGUCACGCCCCGGAUGUCUCGUUCCCCGGGCACGCCGACAAAUCCGCCGUAUACAAGGAAUUUUCCCUGUAUACGAAGCGUCAAAAGUACCUGUAAAUAUACAAUACUACAAACAGUAGCAUAGAGCUGCUCAAUAUACAAAGCUAAACAACUGAGUUUCAUAUACAUAGUCCAAAUCCAAAAUACAAAGCUACUCGCACCGGCGAGUUAAACAACUAUGUACAUAAACUCUAAAAUAGCAACUACCUGCAGUAGGGGGGUGCCUCUAGCUCUGUCAGUCGGGUAGGGCUCUACCUCGCGACGCCCUUGCCUCGAUCCUGAUCCGCGGAAGGCGCAGUAGCCGAAACCUGUGGCUCUGCAAAACAUAGGUAACAACUGGGCGUGAGAACUACUGUAAAAAACAAGUAGUCCUCAGUGGGUACCGCCCAAAACGACAUCGGUCACCCACUAAGUCUACAGAAGGGAGCAAGGAUAGAAGGAAAAGCAGGAAGUACACUCUAUCGCUAUCAUCCACUACACUAUCAUGCUCUACAUUAACCGACUGUAGGAAAUGUCAAAUCUGACCCAAUCCAAUUGGGACUGUAAACAUACCCGUCCCUGGGACUGUGAACACACCCGUCCCUGCCCCGUUGCGACUAUCAGGCUCUAUCCACACUAGCUGGUCUGUGGAGAGCAAGUCCAACUGGCAUGAGCGACACCAACGCAAAAGCACAAGCCUGACUCCGGAGUGGCACUCGUGGGCGCUACCCAACCGAGUAUGCAGCGUAUCUCUGUCGAGCUCAAUCAGGCUCCAACUAUCCAAAGUCAAGUAAUCGACUCAAACUGGCCUAACAACCAACAGGUAACGUGCCCUCGGCACAGUCUGACGCCAAAAAGGUGAUACGGGUCCACCGUCAACUCUGACGGCACCCAACAGUCCGGAACAACCUGAACGACCCUGUAAAAAUCCACUCGGCGAACCAGCACGAGUGUAAAUACAUUCUAAACUACCUGGAGUACUCGUCUCGAAGAAACUGAGACAGUACAAUUUCCUGACGGCUCCUAGAGCUAAAUCAGGUAGUUAAAACUGGUGACAGGUCCAAAUCGCAAGUUUUCUCCUAAUUCAAUUUCCAAGUCCAACAUGUAUAAUCUAAUUACUUAAUAAAAUAUGCUCGCAAAUUCAGAUUUUGCAUUCUAAUAAUAAUCCAUGAAUUUGAGCUAAACUAUUGUAGAAAUCACGAUUUAUAUAUGUUGACUAAUAAUACUUAGGAGUAAAACCGAUGUAACCCACCUAAAAUGCUAAUCCCCUGGCAGCGGUACACCCUCACAGCUGCAGCACCACCUGCUGGUCGAUCUACACCCUCCAAAUCCGGGAGUCGAGCUAACACCACGCUCUACAAAGCACAAAUCACCGUUUCAGUCCCAAAAUUCGCAACAGUCAGGUACAGCACGGAUUCGACCAAUCUAACCUCAACGAAAUCUGGCAAGUAAGGGCUUCGUGGAUUCCUCUCGAAGUCCUGAAUCCAGCGAAUCAAGCCUCGUCGAAAUCCGACGCUCCUACGUCGAGUACGAGCCGAAACGCCAACGGUCGACGCUGGAAAUCUGCAGGGACAGCAACUAGCUCAAAAUUGAAAAAGCUUGGAAAUUAGGAAGCAAUUCUAUGGAACACCCACCUCGACGGCGACUAGCACUGGCGCGACGUCAAGAACGGCGAAGAUCCACGCUCGCCCGGCCUCCUCACGAUGCAACGGCAGCAACCGUAGGUUCGAACGGCUCUGCGGUGCGACGUCGACGGCGAAAUCGGCUCCGUGGCGGCGUCCCUCGCGUGCUUCCUUGGUACGGCCGAACGAAAGAGAAAAGGAGAGAAGAGAGGAGAUAAACUCCUCUCUCUCUCUUCCCUGCAUGCAUAAAAGAGGGGGGGGAGGUGAUGCCACAUGGCAUUACACAUACUCACAUAUGUGCACUCACACACACACACACACACACGUACCCUCACACACACACUUAUAUAUAUAUACUAAGUAUAGGGAUACUAGUAUACUACAUAUCGCCUCGGGCUAGCGCGCUUACCGAGGGAUCGUUCGAUAGGUGGUCUACCUCUCGUGUUUUCUUUUUGUGAGAGGUUGAGAGUUGUACCCGUAUAUAUAUAGAGACCACCAUUUUUGUACUAGAGACAGUUAUUGUACUACUUAUGGUUAUCUUUGUUUGACUAGCUUUAUUCCUUUACUUUGGUGUAGAUGAUAGAACUUUACUUGCUCUGAUAUCUCUAGUUGCUAGUUAUUUCAUUUCUUAUAUUUGUUUUAUCUCUUGCCUUUACUUCCGCUUUUAUUGUAGGCGCCUUAUAUGUGUAGACAUAUGGCGGGUCUGGGCACGCUACCGGGAGGGCCUCCGCCGGUCUCGGGGCGUGACAGCUUAAGUCGAUUGAAUCUCUAUAAAGUAGAGAACAUUUAUACAUGAAAGUAUUUAUAUUCAUAUUCAAUACAGUUGAAUGACUUAUGAAUAAGUGUAGGAUGCACUUUAAAGUAGAGAACAAUGACAUUCUCUUGACUCUAACGUAGAGAACUAUGACAUGCUCAUGACUAUGUUGAUAGUGCCAUACUAGUGGAAAGAUUAUUUUGCCAUGUGAUUUAGCUACACCCUUACAUGAUUACAAUCUAGUGGAUACUAGCUCUUGUUACUAUUUGUGUAUUGACAUUCCGAUCAGAGGAUCGAGGGUAAGAACUUUACAAAUGAAAAUAUGAAAAUUGAGACAUGUGGAUAAUGGACUUUGCUUGCUUGCCAUCGUGCUCAUUCGCACACGCUUGUGAGGGUAGCUCCCUACAAGCCGGUACUCCGGAGUUGGCCUACGCGACAGUUGCUCGCCCGUGCGGGAUUGGGUGCGGAAGUGGAUUGCCGUGGGGAGUGUAUACUACCACGGGGCCAUUAGGCGCGGCGCAAGCUGGACUACCUUGAGUAGGUCCUAGUGAAUGAAAAUGAAAGUGGAAAUGAUAAUGAUAGUAAUGAAUGAGUAUCAGUUGUAGUGUACAGUAAUACUUACACUUCUAUGAUUAUGUUUAUGUUCAUGUUUAUAGUAGUUGCGAUACUUCUAUUAUUCAGUUGAUUCAUUACUGCAGAAAUCAUGUUUACAUGUUGAAUACAUGCCUGUUACCGGUUAGCACUGCAUAUUUCUAUAUCAUGCAUUUAUCGCUUCUACUUACUUUCAGUACAUCAUGAGCCUAGUGGUGUAAUUCGCCGAGACUGGCGGCUUACCCACUGGGAACUAUUGUUAAUAGUUCUCACGCCCUUUUGGUGGUUGUUUUUACAGAGCCAUCUACAGGAAAGGCUAGGGAUCGUGGCAAAGGAGUCGCGUCUAGCUAGACAUUGCUAGAAGCAUGCUAGUCGAUCACCUUGCUACUCGGGCUACGACUGAGGGUGAUGUCCUUUUGUAUAGAGAAACCACCAUUGUACCUAUCCUAUUUUUGUAUACUCGUGAUGUAUAUGUACUACUUGGACUGUGAACUACAGUUGUGAUACUUCUCUUCUGUCGAGAUUUUGGAUUGUAUUUUCCUUUGUUCUUUUACUGAUAGUAUAUUGACUUGUACAUUGCUCUGAUAUCAGGAUAGGACUUUCUUUGUUUUGCUUCCUAUCGACUUGCUUUCUUCGUAGACGCCUUAUAUACUGCAGGUGUAUGGCGGGUCUGUACACGUGCCGGAUAUGCUUCCGCUGGUACCCGGGGGUGACAGCUGCUGCCGUCACCGUCGCCUAAGCCGCCACCGCCACUGCCGUCGUCGCCUAAGCCACCACUGCUGUCGCUGCCUAAGCUGCCACCGCCGUCGCUACGGAAGAGAGAGAGAGAUAGAGAGAGAGAAAUAGAAGAAAUGGGAUAAGAGAGAGAGAGAGAGAAAUAGAAGGAGGGGAUAAGAGAGAGAAAGAGAGAGUAGGGGAGGGAGAAAAAGUGUGGGGGACAACUGGCAAGAGAUAGAGAGAGAGAGUUUAGGGUAGAGAGAGAAAGGGAGAGAGAUGGGUUUCAGAGGGUGUAAGAGAAGAGAGAGAGAGAGAAAGAGAGAAGGGGGUUUACAGCUGUAACAAAUUUUUUUUUGUGAACCCCACUUCAUUAAAAACGUGCCAUGUGGAAUAGACUUACCUCCUCUCGCCACGUGGCUUCAUUGUUCUGUCAAUUUAUAUAUUGUUAGAUAUAUUAAGAAGUACAAAGCAUUAUCAUUUUUUUUUAUUUUAGCAUUAUAAUUUUCAAUUAUUUCAAUUUAACUUUAUUAAAUACAAUUAAUAAAUACUUUAAAAAUUAACAGUUUAAUCAGCUACAAGUCAAUGCAUCGGCAAUAUUAUCAACUAAAAGGUGUUUAAAAUAGUUGGAUUCAAAAUUUUAUUUUCCAAAUUUUAUAAAUCUCCGAUUUAAAUUUUAAAACUUGUACUAAUUAUUUACUAUCACUCAAAAAAUACUAGUGGAAUGACUUUUGCAAAAAGAUUGCAAUAUUAACCGGUUCAUUUUGAUAGAAAUAUGAAAGAUUUAUUGAAUUUAGUAUAUACCAGUUCGGCUUCAUUUGGUUCAGAUAUAAGCAAGAAUUGCCUAUUCCAGUGAAUUCUAAAAAAGUGAUUUUGGUUUGGAGAAGUGAUUUUGGUUAAAAACUGUAGAGCGUUUGGUUGAGUUUAGGUAAAAGUGAUUUUUCUAAAGUGAUUUUGAAAAACUGUUUGGCAAAAUUUUUUUGAUGUAUGCAUAAAUUAAUAUUUUUAUUAAAUUUUAUUUUAAAAUAAUUUAAAAUCUAAAUUAAAAUUAAAAUUAAAAUUUUAAUUAUAAAAUAAUUAUAAUUUAUUGCUUAUAGUAUAGAAAUUUUUUUAAAAAAAUACAAAAUAGAAAAUGAAAAAUAAACUAUAAAAUACAGUAUAAUUAAGCCAAAUGAGAAACCAAAAUAAAUUUCAGUGUUUCCAAAUAGGACCUCAUCAUAAUUGGCAAAGCGCACAAACUCUUUCUUUGGGACCUACCUUGGACAUCCUCUUACGAUUAAGUGACCUUAAUUAUAAUUAUACAUAUCAUUAAAAUUUGUUGAUUUUUGUUGAAUGUAAAUAUUAGAAAUAUUGUUAUAUGAUAGUUUAAACUUGAGUGAAAUACGCGCGUUUUAUAUAAAUUCAUAUGGUAUCAUAGUAGUAGGUCUUAAGUUAAACAUCGUUCUCUAGUAGUUUAAUCGUUUGGAGAAUAACAUUUUUUUAUAUAAUUUCACAAUUUUAAGUACUUGAACAAUAGGUAAAUAGUGUCGAAUAAUCAUGAAAACUGGUUUCUAAGAAGUUAAUGGGAACCUAGAUCGUCGAUUUGGAUUCCUCACAAGUUGAAUAUGAUAUGAAAGAAUUAAGCGUUUGGUCCUUCAACUCUAAUAUGGACACACUCGAUUCGGGACCGGGGAUGAAAAUGAAUCUGGAUUGGUGGAACUCCCGUUCCAAUCUUCUACGAACAGGACGGUAAGUGAGAACUAAAGAUAUAAAUAAAA
rnacentral:lncRNA from 1 species